AAAAAUACAAGUUGAUACAGCACAAUACAACAUGAGCAAUAUGAUUACAAGGAGUGGAUCGAAGUGGGCAAAUAGGAAGGUUGAUAUGUUAUACAAGUCCAGAGGGCAUUUCAUCGGCAAACUAUAAUGCAAUCGAUCAGACAUAUGUAUAUCAUAUAGUUAGUGGAAAACGAAAUCAGGUGAUACCCGAUCAAAACGCCAUAUAAAUGGUAGAGAAACAAAUCAUAGACAAAGAAUCUAUAUAGUCAACCUAGCCGCGCAAAUGCGGGCCACACCAUUAGUUAAUUAGUGAUACUACAUGUGUAGGCUAUAGAAAAGGUAGAAUCACCUAGGCAUCAGUUGAUAUUUGCUUCUUUUUGUUACCGGGAAUGCCUUGCACCUAUUGUACCCAUGAGGAAAGGAAUUGUCUGCAAGCUCAAUUAUCCUCUGAAACAAAGAAAAGGAAAGAGAGCGAGGACUAUCUAUUUGAUUUAGUACAACUUUGUACUAAAUCAACGACAACUAAUAUAAAAUAGAGGGGUACGAUGUAUCAUCCCAUAGUGGAUAAUUUUCGAAGUUGCAUGAGUGACGCGAUCAACUGCCUAAUGGUGCCUUGUGCAUGGAAUUUGCAAAGCUAAAGAAACACCCCAUGAUCACUGUGAUGAAAAGAACUCCAAACACAACGAGCGUGGAAAGCAGAAUGCCCGCGUAGGCUGACGAUGCCUUGGCCGCGCACACAAGGCUCACUGUCAAGGUAACCACUGGAACUUUUGUGUGUGUGUGUGUGUGUGUGUAAGCACGGUGCUCACCUGAUCUCCGGUUCUUGCGAAUUAAAGUUGGCCGCUAGGAAGAAUGGAAUGAGCGCAGGUCUGGCAUUGGCCAUCGGGUAACUCGUAAGAGGCACUCGGGUAGCCAGGCUGACUUGCCUGUGGAACCUCUCGGGUGCCCCGAGAGCUCGAUCGCCUCCCAGUAGGUCCACAGGCAAAUCAUCCUUGGCUACCGAAGAUGGCCGCUUACCUCCAUGCAAGAACUCACACAUGUGUCAUGUGAACUGCUUGGUGCACUCAGAAUGAACUGACUACCAAGGAUGGUGCCUGCAUGCCCUGCCCCUGGCCAUGUAUUUAUAAGAAGGCCGGGGAGGCAGAUCAGGGGCGACUUCGGUGAGGCCGCAUCAUGUUUGAUACAGGUGAGUAGAAUCUUGGCCUUUGACAAGGGCGAAAGGUGUCGAUCAACCAGAGCAAGUAACCACCACCGGACCACACACACUGCAUGCCGGACUGAAGAUCUAUCUCGUUUCCUUUCCGGAGAGCAUCCAGGGAUUUGGAUCUUGAUCACGUUUGUUCAGGUCGGUUCGGUUGACCAGUACGUGCGCGCGUGUGGUCUUUCCAGUUGGGUUCCACUCGCUUGACCUGCCGACAUGGAAUUCGUGCACGUGGAGCAGAAGAACAUUGCCGUCCGGAUCGGGCGGUGGUCAGAAUAAUAAGGUUAAGGGUAAAUGUUGUGGUGCUGGGUGGAAAAGGAUGUGGUGACGAAGAAGAGAUCGAGCCGGGAUUCGGACACUGGACCUGGUCGCCUCCUGCCUGGCUCCAUGCACGUCCCCGACUGGUCCAACGCCGGUGUUGGUGCGCAGCCUCCUGCCUGCAGUACGCAGAUAUUGGAGUGGUGCAACACAAAGCAUGCUCGGACCAGGAUGGAGACACAAUGCACACAAUUCUGAAGAUGCAGAAAAAGCACUUUGGGGAAAAUGGUGCUGCGGCCAUGGGAGGUCAUCGGCCAGGGUAAGCAGCGACAGAAUCCUUUCCGAGAAUCACAUCAAGGAGACCAACAAGAUGGGGGAAAACAUAAUGUCUAAUUAUUUUAUUUUAUUUUUUUUCAAAACUGAGGCAAAAGAUUUACCUCAUCGAUUAAUUAAAAAAAGAGAAUUGUCCGGUUAAUUAACGAAAAAUCAGACGAAAACCGAUACAUACAGAUCAAAUGCGGACUACUCGCUAAAAAAGAAACUCCAUGACCCCACAGUCAACCCGACAAACAUAUAUAACACGCAACAACCACGAACCCUAGCACUUCUAUGUCGCAAAGAAACCCUCAACAAAACGAGCCAACCGAAGAUGAAGGACAAAGAGAGUGAGUAUCCUCCAUUAAGCAAUCGCGGACGCCUUAUCAAUGGCACCACUCUUCUUGCCUAUACUCCUGACAGUCUUCUUCACCUUCUUUAUUUUGCCUGUAAAAACCUCAUCCACUAGGAGACAAGCAAUCACAUCGCGAGACCCAUGACAAACUGCAGCCAAGGAGGCGAGCAAGCGGCCAAGCUUUUUCACAAAGGUCGUCUCGUCAAUACGUGCCAACAUAGCGUCACGGUCAAAGGUGGGCAACCGAAUGAGCUUCAGCGCCUCAAAAUUAGCUGCCAAACCACCUAUCUCAUCAACCUCGGCACCCACAAACGCCACCUGGGCAACAACCUCAGGUGAGAGAGCAAUAGCAGCGUCCAAACCUUCACGGUCACAAAGGCGAGCGGCUGACUGGACUCCAACGACGACGGUAAGGUCGCAGUCAGCAUCGCCAAGUGUCGUCCAAGCGAUCCCAUCUCCUUAGGAAGCACCAUUGAAAUAGGUGAAGUGGGCUCCCCACAAAGCUUCUGUAGCUCAGGCAUAAUCUGCAGCACCGGAGUCACGACCUCGACAACGACUUCACGCCCAGAAGUAAUCGACAUGACAGGCAACGACAACCGACAUGAUCUAGCACGAGGGGAGAGAUCUCCAUACAUGCAUGCUUCCCCAUCGGCAGAAUCAACCAAGAUCUCGAACGACAGGGACACAUCGGAGGCAACCUCAAUCUGAAGCUCAGGCAGCGAAGACACAUCCGGCACCACCUCUAGUUUGGCGAGAGCGACCUCCGCCCUCACUAAAACACACCCGACUCGCGCAAGGCAAUCACGAAGCUCAGUGAGAAGCACCUUGGUCCCCUCCGCCAACCCGACUCGCUGAGCCGAGACAAACUGGAACUGUGCGUUUGUCAUGGAGACAUCACCGGUGGAUGCAGGCGGUGGAGCAUAACACUAGGGCGGCGAAGCUUGGUGGACAGGCUUCUUAGCACAGCAGAAGUGGGCGAUGUGACUAGAUCAAAGGCAGUUCAUACACCGGAUUGGAUCCUUGUAAGAGUGUGCAUAGUGACCUCAACAGAGGCAUCGGAAACACUCUCUCAGCCACGCCAGAGGAGGACGCCGCAUAUUGAUAGCUGGCGAUGAAAAGCAACGGGAGUCGAGCGUCGCCCCCUUGAGACAAGCUGCCAUCCCCCCAAUGCAUUCCAGCUUGGUGCUUGACACACAGGGGCUGUCGGCGACGCCUCACGGUCGAAACAUCCUCUCCAAUUUCACAAACCUAGACGCACCAGAGGCGCCUGCAUGACGUGCACAUCGCCCGCAACAAUAGCGUGGGCCAUCAGAGGGAGCUCCUCGAAGGCUGUUGUCUCCGGUAGCAACAACGGCCCGGCGCGGUAGGCGUCGGAGUUGCCAAGACCAGAUCAAAGCUCGCCAGCAUCUCGGUCGUGGCAAUGUCCAAAAAAUACAUUCACUCGGCGAACAAUAAAACAUGAUGAUUAUAUGAAAAUGUUUGCUUUCACCCCAUGCGUUUCCAUGCUGCCGCCUGCCUCCUCUCCCAUCUCUCUUUGCUUCCUCUAUGGCUUCGAUCUCGCCUGUUCUCGCCGUGGACGCAACGACAACACUAUACGAGGAUGAGCUUGGUGCUGCAACCAGGUUGCAAACUGCUACAAGUGGAUGAUGCAGGCAGUGUUUGAUGUUGCAAGACAACCACUGGUGUGCUUCUAUCAGCUGCAAAAGAGGACUGCUGUUGCGAGGGGCUAAGAGCAUUACUAGUAGAACCCUCAAACCCUCGAACCCUCUCUAGCGUUUUAAGGGUCCAAAAAUGAUCCUUUUGUGCACUUUUACGGAUUGAAAAACAGGGGCAAAGAUUAGAACCCUCAAACCCAACCCUUAUAACGGAAUAUUCCCCAUGAACGACGUUGUCGUUGCGCGCGGGAGGUCAACGGGGCGGCCGCCGGCGACUAGCAGCGGCGGUCACGGGCGUGGGCGGGGGAGUUAGGAGGAUUUUCCCUCCCGCGCGAGUAUAACCGCCAAAUAAGGGUUGGGGUAGGUUUUGCUCCCCAACCCUUACUUUUGAGGAUUGGGAGAGGGUUUGCGGGUUGGACCUUUAAAAAAAUUUGAGGGUUUGAGGAUUAAGGGGUUCUAGUCUACGGCUUUUUUUCGACGAAAACUGUAAAAAAGCAGUUAUUUUUAGGGAUUUGAGGGUUUGAGGGCUCUACUAGUAAUGCUCUAACAACCGACGCUGCUGUGAGGCCUUAAAACCUGAGGAGAGGAAGGUAGCUGCUGUAGCUUUUCAGAUUGAGGAUGAUGCUAGACUAAAGGCGGAAAAUGGCCGCAUGGUAAAGGAGGCUGCUGCAAAGGAAGCUUCGGUGUUGCAGUUGUGGAGUUCAAACGAGCAGCUGAGCUUGCGAGAGGAAGAAGAUUACAUAAGUUGCAUCAAACAGCUGCAAAGUCCGCUGUUUUUAGCAGUCCGCCAGCUCACAGCUGGCGCUGGCCAUGAUACAUCAACAUAAAUGGAUAAAUGAGGAUUUAGUAACUAGCAUAGAAAUAAAAACCCACCCAGAGAUGAUUUGGAAGCACAAAGGACCAAGAAACAACAUCUAAAAAACAAGUUGAAAUAUAGUAUAACUUCAAUAUUAAUCUGAAACUUAUGCCACAGAAAUAGAAAAUGAGGCCAUCCUAUGUGUCGUUCAAAAAAUGUAUAUUCACAUAGAAACACCAAAACCACCAGCAAUGUAGUGCUUUCUGGUCACAAAAACUAACAAAGUUAAGAUAUAGCAACUUUAAUCAAAUAUACCUAGACCAUUGUAAGAUAGAUAUUAACCGUGAUACAUUCCCAUGCGUAACCAUUGCAUAAGCAUGACUACACAAAGAGCACUGUAUCUGAAAGCAAUUGAAGCAUUCCUAGACUAUUAGAAGCCAUACAAUAAUGCGAAACACGACUCCCAGUGAUAGGCUGAUAGCACCAGGGGGCUCAUAGCUUACUUGUCAACUACUCACUCCAUUCACUAUUAUAAGAGAUGUUCUAUCUUUUAUCUGAACCAGAUGUAUAUACACAUUUUAGUGUUUUUGUUGAUUCAUCGACUCAUUCCAAUCCAUAUGCAGUCCAUAUUGAAAUACCUAAAUGGUCUUAUAAUGGUGAAAGAGGGAGUACCAGCUAAGACAGAAAUAUAACUCCCCACUGUGUUGGCCACUAUGGAAUCACAUGAAUCCUCUUACUGAACAAUCAAAUGUCAAACACACACUACAACAGGGCAAUGACAAAGGUGUAUUGAUUUGAUUUAAAUUGUGGUCCACAACUCAAAUCAAAUCAAUACACAAGAAACGGAUUCAAACAAUGGGUGACCAGGCAGAGCCCCAAAAUUGAAUUGUCAUAUGUACUCAUCUUCCAUCAUUUGAUUACUUAUAAAGAGCACAACACAAGCAAACCUUCCCAAACAGCUUCGCCUCCCCCUGAGGUCAUACAUAACCCCCAUCCCCCUCAAAUCGCCAUCACAACGAGGGCGCAUAAGAAAAUUGGACCUUGUUCAAACAAGUAUCAGCAGUAGCUACUAAAGAAACGUUUUAUAUGUAGCAAACCACAAACAUUAAACUACUUAUAUAAUGACAGGUAUCACCACUAAAAACAACUAAAUCAUCCAAAACCUAAUUGUAAAGAAAACAAAACAUACAGAAUACCUAACUAUGUGCAUAAAUAGUCAUGCACAAAGGAAAUACAAAUGGCGAAAAGGUCAUUGAUAAAUCAAGGUUUUGGUAGAACUACAAAGGGCAAUCUCCUACCAAGCAAAAGGAAAACAUCAAAGCUUAAAACCAUACUGAACAAGUAAAGCAACCACACAAGAGGCAAAUAAUUGUAGAACAUUGAAUCAACCUACAUAUCUGGUUUCAUAUGGAAGAUCCAAUUGUGCAGGAUACUAGGCAAGUCACCCAGGAAUUACACAUGCCUACAACAGGUAUUCUACACUAACCACAAUACAACUAUCCCCUACCAAGCAACCAGUUAACAAUUCUACAAACAAAUGAACAGCUUAAAGCCAAACCGCUACACGAGAAAUUCAUUCAAAAUGCAGGUAGGUAACCAUACUAGGGUACCGAAGGAUUUCAACUGGUCAGGCCAUUUCAACUCGGGCAAAAUACAGAGCUUAAGCAGGAUAAAAGCUGUUCCAUAAUCAGCAAAAUAUGAUGGUAUCCCAGGUAGGCUACAAGCAGUAAAUAAUAAUAUCUCUCAACACAAGCGAAAUCUUAAUCUUAAAACAGGCAUCCCGGAGUCACAUGCUAGCUUGCAAAAACAACGAGACGCCAUAAACCCUAGGUACCCUAGACCCUUCUCCCGUCGGCGGCAACGGGCGUCAUCAUCGUCAUCCCCGGCUUAGAAUCCGAGCUUGGUGCGGCGCCAGUGCCUGCGCUUGGCGUUGUACCUGAGACAGCAACGAAACAGCUUAGGGGCGCCGUCUCCUCUCCAUAGAUCCAUUACUAACCGGGGGAGGAGAUAAUGGCGGCGGAAGGUACCUGAUGGUGUUGUCGGUCCUCAUGCGGAUCCAGUAGGGGAUGGGGCGGUUCUGGCGCUGCUUCUUGGCCAGCUUCUGCUUGAUCCGGAAGGUCUUGUGCGACGGCUGCGGCGGAUUGGAGGCGACGGGUCAGCGGGGAUCCAUGGAGGAGGGAACACGGGGAGAGGAAUCGAAGCAGAUGGGAGAGAGAUUCGGGGGAGAGUGAACGGAGAUGCGUACCAUCGUGGCGGCGGAGACGGAGGCGGCUGCGGCGGCGGCGCGAGGAAACCCUUGGAUCGGAGGAAGGGGAAAUGGAGGCCGUGAGGGCUUAUAUAGUGGAGAGCAGUGCCGUAUGGGCCUAAUGGGCUCGGCUAGUUUCCUUGGACUGACUACUGCUGGUGGGCCUAUCUGUCAAACGUACAGAACUGGGCUUUCAUGGGCUCGUAACGUUAUGUCUGUGCUCUUUCCUUUGUGAAAACAGACAUCGAGACUGGGCUUUAAUGGGCUCAUGAUGUUACGUCUCUGAUUCCCUCCUCCGUUCUCACAAUAACGACUUCCUUUGUCUCAAAAAAAAAUUAACGAUUUCCUCCUGAUUCAAGAAAAAAACUACAAGAACUUUUCUGUUUCCGAGUUCCAAAUACAUGCACUCACACAUGUGUUACAGAGCAGUUUCACGCAUUUAAGUGUUAAUUUUAAAAAUCUGUGUUAGCAUAAAAAUAGUUUGAUAUGCAACACGUUUGUACUAAUAUACUUAUAAGGUUGGAUUUUACAAUGUACUUCCUCCGUCUCAUAAUAUAAGAUCUUAUUACAUAAGAUAUAUAUACUAAAUGCAGAGUCUCUUGGAUGUCAGUGUAGUAAAACGAGGAGAGUCUAAAGGGAACCAACCCUUCACCUAAUGAAUUGUCAAGAAUUGGAAAGUAAAGGGUUCUAAAAAAAUCUGAGAGGAGCUCCCAAAAAACUCCCCUCUUCUCCCUACGUAUUUUCUACUAAAAACCCUACCUGUUGGGGUAAGUAGAUUCUUCCCAAUCCACUUGCCAAACCCAUAAAAAGAGGAGAGGGGGGGGGGGCAAUCCUUAUAACCGCUCCAUCCCCACCGCCGACCGGUCGUGAUCCGCGUCGGUCCGGUCCUGCCUCACCUCCCGCAUUCUCAGCUGCUCGCCGUCGCACACGACCGCUCCCAGCCACACCUCUUGUCCCACCUUGCCGGUAGUUGCUACACAGUUUCCCUAGCCACACCUUGCGCCGGUAUCCCUACCCCUUCGCUUCACGAAGGCGACACCCACGGGGCAGCAAUGGCCUUCAGCCUCGGCACUGAGGCAACUCCAAGUGGCGGCUCUCAGUCCCGCCACCGCUCGCCGAGGUGCGGAUCCUGACGAGGAGGAGUCGAGCUGGUGGUAGUCGGCCGAUAGCAGCCAUAAACACGGCUUUGUGCCCCAUUUUAAUAAAAAUGGGGCGGGGGGAAACCUCUUUCGAUCAAAAUAAUAAUUAUUCUGCACAUUUGGGUGACUUUCAACGACUGCACUUGCUAUUGUGUGUAGAAAAAUACAGAGAGCUGAUGUAUUGUGGAUGGGCUACUUCCUACCCUCCCAAAUCCACUGCCAUGAAUUUUUUGAGAGGCAAGCUUAGGAAGGUGGUUCAGAGAGAUGCUGAACUAGAGAUGGUUCAGAGAGAUGCUCCUAAGUUGUAUGGAAAGAACUAGAGAUGCUCUUAAUAACGUGUAUUUUUGUAGACAGUGUGGUUAUCAGCAGUCAAUGGUCAAAGCUAGCGAAUAAGCCCAAAGAUCACAAACUUUCUUGUCGCCAUGCGUGAGUCACCAGCAUCACGUCUCCUGUGCAACAGACAACAUGAGGAGGGGCACCAAUCAGAGAGCCCAGACACGAGAGAUCAGCUAUAUCACGUCUCCUGUUCGGAAAUACUUGUCAUCAAAAUGGAUGAAAAUGAAUGUAUCUAAAACUAAAAUACAUCUAGAUACAUCAAUUUCAAUGACAAGUAUUUUUGGACGGAGGGAGUACACUCUACCAGUCUCGCUGAUCAGGAUGCAUGCAUGCAUGGCAAUCGAGCUCCUCUGGAAUCUUAUUGGCCACCAUACCAUUGUCUUACCAGUAUGGGCGUUGAUCAUGGCCACAUGGGCGUUCUAGAUGCUGUCUUGCUAGCUAAUCAUAGGAAACGGCUUAAGAAACUAGCGAUGUUCCAGGGAAGUUCAUGUGCGGACUCGAGGCUGAUCGACACCUGGAAAUGCCCUUGUCUGCAUUGCACGACCGAACCCGACCGGUCCACCUGCGAAAAUAGGUCAAAAUUGUUUUCUUACGAUCGGUUGAUUGAUUGAUUGAUUUGUUCUAGCAAUUAAGCAGGGCUAAGACACCAUCAAAGAUCUCGAUUUGUAUUAUGAUGAUCCUGAGUAUAUAUGGUACUGGUUAUACGAUCUUAUAUAUUCUUCAGAAAUCAAGUAGCUUAAGUUCAUGGUCCUAUACAGAAAAGAAAGAUGCUUAGAUUACAAUCUUUUUCUCUCGAGAAAACUGGAUCGAUCGAACCUUGAUUAAAAUCAUGUUCCCAACAACCAUGAAACAAACACAUGUACUGCAUAUCACCUAACAUCAUGCAUGCCCACUUGCCACUUGGAGGGGAACAUUGCACUACUUGCAUCAGGAUUUGCACUGCACAUAUACGAUGCUGUGUGCCGACAAGUUGCGUGGCUCGAGGGAGUUUGAUUAAUCUGGCCACGCAUCUGGUCUGAGCUAGUUGCUGAUCAUCGUACCAUCAAAUGGGGCAUCAGAUCGCCAUGUCCCGAUCGCAGGAUCCAUGCAUGAAACGCGGAUCACAAGUGUUAUAAGCAAUGGCGAACCACAUGCAAUUGCAUGAUUAACUUUGAACACCUGGUUUCAGCCGAGCAAGGCAGAGAAACAAAAGUAUCAUUAGUUGGAUGAUCAAGCUGAUUAAACUAAGUUGUAUAUUUGUCUAUAUCUCUUCAUUUAGGCAAACGAGAGUAUUCUUCUACAGUUUUGCCAGGUCUCAGUCCAUCAAGAUGUUUUUAUGUCUCAAUCGAUUAAAAAAAAGUACUCUACACUCGCAACUAGGUCCAUGAUUAAUUGCAGAGAAACAAAAGUAUGAUUAAUUGCAUUUUUCUAAACCGUCCGAGACUUAGAAAAUCUCGGUCCAUGUCCAUCGAAAAAUAGAUGAGCCCCCAUUUUUAAGACACACGCCUCGGCUAACUAGUAAAAAUAAGUUGUAAUAUGCAUUCCUGCAAAGAUACUUCUUUGUCGGACAUAUAAGAACCAAACGGCCCCUACUUGGUAGGGGCCUUUUGGGAGGCACAUGAGACCCUUAAGAGUGAUUGAACCGUCUUUUUCUCGAUGAGUUNNNNNNNNNNNNNNNNNNNNNNNNNNNNNNNNNNNNNNNNNNNNNNNNNNNNNNNNNNNNNNNNNNNNNNNNNNNNNNNNNNNNNNNNNNNNNNNNNNNNNNNNNNNNNNNNNNNNNNNNNNNNNNNNNNNNNNNNNNNNNNNNNNNNNNNNNNNNNNNNNNNNNNNNNNNNNNNNNNNNNNNNNNNNNNNNNNNNNNNNNNNNNNNNNNNNNNNNNNNNNNNNNNNNNNNNNNNNNNNNNNNNNNNNNNNNNNNNNNNNNNNNNNNNNNNNNNNNNNNNNNNNNNNNNNNNNNNNNNNNNNNNNNNNNNNNNNNNNNNNNNNNNNNNNNNNNNNNNNNNNNNNNNNNNNNNNNNNNNNNNNNNNAAAUCCAUCCAUUAUCAUACCUCUUGAUAUCAACAAAAACCAAGACAUAAUAUGGUGGGAUAAUAUGAAGAUCAAUUUAGAUACCUGGGAAUACCAAUUCAUCAUAGUAGAUUAACCAAAAAAUAAUGAAGAUGCAUCGAAGAUCGAUUUGAGAAGAAAUUAAGCUGUUGGAAGGGCAAGCUUAUGUUCUAUGGGGUCGGUUAAUUCUUAUAAAUUUUGUGUUAACGAGUAUGCCGAUGUUCCUACCAUCCUUCUUUGAAAUACCCGUGGGGGUACCGAAAAUGUUGGAUCUUUACCGAUUUCACUUUUUUGUCAAAUAGAUGAAAACAAAAAGAAGUGCGGACUAGCCAAAUGGGACAUAUGUAGACCGAAAACCAACGAGGUUUAGGUAUCGAAAAUCUUGAGAUGAAAAAUAGAUGCUUACUCAGUAAAUAAUUAAUAGAUUAUCGGUUAAGGGGGAUGGUGUGUGUACAGUUGUUGCGUAACAAGUAUUUACAAUUCAAACGCACAAGUCACUGCUCAGCGGACCGAUUCUCCUUUUUGAAAGGAGACGAUGAGGACAAUAGCAACCUUCUUUAACAGAAGUAAAUUCAUAGGUGGGAAUGAAAUAAUACUAGAUUUUGGGAAGAUACCUUUUUCUGAAAAAAGGAGGGUAGACCUUCGGACACUGCAUCUGGACGAUGCAUGCGACCAUCUUAUUAAUUAUUUAUAGAGGCCAUACAAAGUAAUACAUCAGCCAGCCUGAAGCCACCAUCUAGGCAACACAUGUUGCUACUCAUAUCCCAUUGAGGAAGGUGUGCCGAAUAUUCGGGCCUAAUAUCAAACAAGCAUCGCACCAAACCCUAACAUCUAAAACCGAAUGCCCCAGCCCAGCCACAUACCAGGACUGGGUCCCAUACCGGACCGACGCACUCUCAAAGUCUGCCACCGCCAUCUUUCACCGGUCCAUCUCCAGAGCAGAAACUGACCCAUCGACCUUGCCUGGCCUACCGUCGACGCCACCACGACGCCAGACAACUCCACCAUCAUGCACGUAUCCGUCCACACGCAUCCGUCGCCGAACCUCCGCAUCACCAUGCCACCGAGAUCCGCCGUCGGUCUUGCGGUGGAUGAGCCACCGCUCUUCCGCUUGUCCCGUCCAACUAACACUUGUUUCAAAAUGAUGCCAUCAGAAGGGACAACGACAUCAAAGGUAUCAUCAUUGUCCGAUCCGGUAGAUCCAGAUACCUGGCUUGAGGACAAGCCACUAGCCUUGCAGUAUCCUUCUCUGUAUAACAUUGUACAACGUAAAUAAGCUUUCGUCCGUAUAAUACUUGGUUUUGUUCCUUUAAAUAUUUAGUACAGGCGGGUGCUGGUGGGGGAAUGAUGGGAUAGAUAGUCUCAUCUUGUUCGUUGGUUCAUAAACACCGAUCCUAUCUCAAAGUCGCUUCAUAUUUGGGAAGUUAAGGUACCUUUAAAAAUAAGGGUAUUUGUGUGAUUUGUGCAUAAAGGAGUGAUUUUGACCAAGGACAACUAUAUAUAUAUGAUGCUGUGUGCCGACAAGUUGUGUGGCUCGAGCUAGUUUGAUUAAUCUGGCCAUGCAUCUGGUCUGAGCUAGUCGCUCAUCAUCGUACUAUCAAAUGGGGCGCCAGAUCGCCAUGUCCCGAUCGCAAGAUCCAUGCAUGAAACGCGGAUCACAAGUGUUAUAAGCAACGGCGAACCACAUGCAAUUGCCUAAUUAACUUUGAACACCUGGUUUCAGCCGAGCGAGGCAGAGAGACAAAAGUAUGGUUAGUUGGAUGAUCAAGCUCAGAUUAAACUGAGUUUAUGUUUGUCUAUAUCUCUGCAGUUAGGUAAACAUAAGUGGAUUGCAUGCAUCACUCUAAUGCAAAGGCCGGGGGUAAUCCUCGUUUUCUAGAAAGAGGUCCCAGUCUAUCAAGACGUUUUUAUGUCUCAAUCGAUUAAAAAAUGUAAUAUGCACUUGCAACUAGGUGAAAUGCUUCAGGUUGCACUUCUCUAAAUCGGCUAAGGCUUAAGAAAAUCUCGGUCCAUUGAAAAUAGACGAGCCCCCAUUUUUUUAAGACACACGCCUCAGGUAACUAGUGAAAAUAAGUUGUAAUCGUAGACAUAUACAUGCACGCAAAGUUACUUCUCUGUUGAUAUAAGAACCAAAGGGCCCUUACCAAGCAGGGGCCUUUUGGGAGGCACAUGAGAACCUUUAGAGUGUUUGAAGACAUAUAUACCGCCUAUUUACUCGAUGAGUUGUGUAUGCCUUAUGCGGGGCNNNNNNNNNNNNNNNNNNNNNNNNNNNNNNNNNNNNNNNNNNNNNNNNNNNNNNNNNNNNNNNNNNNNNNNNNNNNNNNNNNNNNNNNNNNNNNNNNNNNNNNNNNNNNNNNNNNNNNNNNNNNNNNNNNNNNNNNNNNNNNNNNNNNNNNNNNNNNNNNNNNNNNNNNNNNNNNNNNNNNNNNNNNNNNNNNNNNNNNNNNNNNNNNNNNNNNNNNNNNNNNNNNNNNNNNNNNNNNNNNNNNNNNNNNNNNNNNNGGGGGGGGUCAUACAAAGGUUCCUGUAAGCUGGGGAACAUGACCCAGGUUGGCCCCAUGAAGCUCCGCCACUGGCCUUAUGUGCUUGCCAAAUCCAUCCAUUAUCAUACCUCUUGAUAUCAACAGAAACCAAGACAGGAGUAGGAUAAUAUGAAGAUCAGUUUAGAUAUCUGGGAAUACCAAUUCAUCAUAGUAGAUUAACCAACAAAGAAUGGAAAUGCAUUGAAGCUCGAUUUAAAAAGAAUUUAAGCUGUCGGAAGGGCUAGCUUAUGUCAUAUGGGGUCGGUUAAUUCUUAUAAAUUCCGCGUUGACGAGUAUGUCGAUAUUCCUACUAUCCUUCUUUGAAGUACCCAUGGGGGUACCGAAAAUUUUGGAUUUUUAUUGAUCUCGCUUUUUGUCAAAUAGAUGAAAACUGAAAAGAAAUCCAGACUAGCCAAAUCGGGCAUAUGUAGACCGAAAGACCAAGAAGGUUUAGGUAUCAAAAAUCUUGAGAUGAAGAAUAAAUGCUUACUCAGUAAAUGGUUAAGAGAUUAUCGGUUGCGGGGAUGGUGUGUGGAUAUAGUUGUUGCGUAACAAGUAUUUACAACCCGUCACGAAAGUAUUUUUGUCCAAAGUUUGCAGUUUUCCUACAGGUAUUAGUAGUCAAAUUUACCAAAGCUUGUUGUUUUCUUUAUUCGCGUGAAAGAAAGAGGACCUUUGGCUAGGGUUUCUUGUGCCUCCUGCCGGUGCUGCACGCCGGUCUACCUCUUCUCCUGUGAUUUUAGGGCCAUAGAGGCGUGAUGGAUCACGACCCUUGCUGGCACGAGGGGGGGGGCUCCGAUUUUUCAUGCUUUUUUUAGUCUUGUUAAGGUUUAUGUCCUGUUCAGGGAGGCGAGGCGAGGCGAUAGCUCUCUAAAGAUGGAACAAGGUUCUCCCUGCCUAGUCCCAUUCCGGUGGUGUUUCUAGUAUCGUCGAAGGACGUGCGAAGGUUUGUCUCCUGCGGAUUUUAUGGGAUUCGGUCGUCGUUUGUCUUUGGUGGAUCCUCGUGGAUUCUAUCUUUGUUCGUAUGUGUUCCCUUGUCUACAGGUUGGAUCCUUUUAAUCUACGCUUCUCUUUAUCGGUGGCAGUUAUUGUUCUGAUGCGCUAAUCCUAUGGGGUCUUAGCAGGACGACUUCUCGAUUGUCUACUANNNNNNNNNNNNNNNNNNNNNNNNNNNNNNNNNNNNNNNNNNNNNNNNNNNNNNNNNNNNNNNNNNNNNNNNNNNNNNNNNNNNNNNNNNNNNNNNNNNNNNNNNNNNNNNNNNNNNNNNNNNNNNNNNNNNNNNNNNNNNNNNNNNNNNNNNNNNNNNNNNNNNNNNNNNNNNNNNNNNNNNNNNNNNNNNNNNNNNNNNNNNNNNNNNNNNNNNNNNNNNNNNNNNNNNNNNNNNNNNNNNNNNNNNNNNNNNNNNNNNNNNNNNNNNNNNNNNNNNNNNNNNNNNNNNNNNNNNNNNNNNNNCGGGGACGACUUUUACAGCACCGAGGGCUUAGAUUGCAAUAACAAUUCGACGGAUACUCUUUUCCAGCGGCAGGUUUUCAAACGAACAUGCUUGCCAGUCGCCAUGUUGCUAGGUGUAUCAAACAAAAGCGUUUUGUAAAAGAAAUAUAACUAAAUUUGCAUCAAAACCCCAUUCUGGGUCUUGUCAGCAACCCAGGCAAUGCAUGUGUUAGGUGGCGACACCCUCCGCCUUAUCUUCUUCCCCCGGGAGUUUCUUUAGACCAGCGUUCACACUCCACACACGACGUCCACAAUCAAAGAUGAGCAAGCAAUUAACCAACAAAAAUGAAGACAAGCCAAUACUCUCAUCUCUAAACCAUCAUAGCCGGGGAAGAAAAGAAAGAGCAAGAGCAACACAAGGACGUGGAGAUAAUGACCUAAACGUGUGGUGCUCAGCAUCAGCCUCGGCCGUGCACAUGGCCGGCCGGCCGGGUACAUGCACUGAUGCACAUCAAACCAUCAUCAAAGGAGCAUGCACGCACGCAUGCAUGCAUGCACGACCCCCAUAAACCAGCCCGGCCGUCACGAUCCACACCCAAAGACGGCCGCUCCCAUGUCCCCCGUCCGUCCUCCCCUCCGUCCGCCCAGACGAUCAGACCAUCGCCACGUACGUUGAGUACGAGUACGCAGACUGUUGCCGGCUGCUGCAUGCCCGCACAGCACGACCACAGCGAUGGCGCUUGAUGAUGUCCCUGUGCGCGCGCCCACGGACCCCCACAGUGCCGCUGCCGCAGGGAUCGGCCAAGAUCUCGUCGUACUGCAGAGAGGGAUAGCAGCAGCAUCUCAUCCCAUCUCCCCGCUCUGAACGUUCUCUGAGGCCGAAUCCUGGCGACGCAUCGCCCCCGGCCCGGCCGAUCGAUCCCCCCGUAUCCGGCCGCAGCCCGCUGUAGGGGCCGCGGCGCCGCCGUGCGGCCACGUAGUACCCCUCGCGCUCGGGGCGGAUCGAUCACGGGCGCGCGGAUCCGUCCGGCCGCGGCGUCGAUCGGCUCCGGCGCGGUACGUACCGACGUCGACGAUGUGACCGGUGAGAAGUUUUUAUGCCACCGGCUCCGGCACUGUGCGGCCGGGCGGUCCGUCCUUUCGGGGGUGACGGGAGUCUUGGUUCAGCAGUGAGUGGCGAACGAACCACCGAGACUGUGCGUGCGCUCAGGAUCGUGGUCGAGACUGUGCCGCCGCUGCUGCGGCAGAGAAUCGGCCUAUCGACCGGCCGGCCGGAGUAAAUUUCUGCCGUGUACGGCGGUUUGGAUAUGGGGAUAGAUGUCGUGUACUGUGCCUGUGCGGCAAUUCGGUCAGACGAGGCGCGCAUCCCUUAAUUCUUCAUUCACUUCCUGUGGUGGCAUGUGCUGCCAUGUUGCGGGCUUAUCAGGAUACGCGAGGUCCCUACAUGGCUACGCUAUCCAACUCUCGUGAGGUUCAUGGCUAGUUAUGGCAGAUCAUAAUAUACGCUUGUGUGAUGUGUUUGUAGGCAGUAUGAUUGAACGGGUGAGUCAAUGACAAAAGAAGUAUAUCAGAUCAUACUAUAUGCUGUUGUGUAGGUUUACACUUGUGUGAUGCGUGUCCAUGGCAAAAAAAAGUAUUCAAAAUUGGACCACUGCAAAAUAUGACUGCCUGAAUGAAUGGCAAACAAGUAUUCAAAAUUGGACCCAACGGGUACAUUCGACGAUUUUUCGCUACUUGUUUUUCGCAGGAUCUAUGUUAUGCACUAUUACUUUUUACUAAUUUUCCUCUCGACUUUUCAUUACACUCUUUUUUCCUAUUGUGUACUCUGUAGUUUACGAUGAUGCCUAUUGUAAAUUUCUACUUCAUUUUCUCUUAGUUAGUGUUGCCUUUUUUAAUAAUAUCUACUACAUUUUGUACCACAUUUGUCGCCGCUGUUUAGAUUCAACAGGAUAUAUCAGAUUAGUUUUUCCUCCACUGUGUUUUUUCACGGGAUAUAUGAUAUUUUUACACCACUAAGUGAUGCAUUUCUAGACCAACUAGAGAUGAUACCCCACGCGUUGUUGCGGGAAUUAUUUGUAAUUAUUUCAAUUAGAUUUGGUCAUAUGAAACAUUUGUAUUUGGAUUAACAAUGUGAGUAUUUUUAAACUAAAAUACAUGUAAUUUGAAUUUAGUUAUUAUAUACUUGCAAAAUACUUAUUAAAAUUACGAGUAGCAUGUGUGGCGCAUGCUAAGGUGGGCAUUUUUUCAUACAUGGUGACAUGGUGAGUUAUCAUAGCUGCAUGUUGAGAAAAUCAGAGUUGGUGCGGAUCAACUAUUUAAGUGUAUUAGAGGAUAUCCCGCACGUUGUUGCGGAAUUGGUUGAAAUUUUUUGAGUUGAUAACAUGAGGCCAAAAACUAAAAAUACAUAUGACUUAUCAUAUUUCAUUAUGUAUAGUUGUAACAUGUUUAUUGAAUAUAAGUCAAAUAAUUGAAUGGAAGAUAUUUUUCCAUGCAUGGUUAAAUGUUGUGUUGGGUCUUUUUCCAUGCAUGAUUGCAUGUUGAGGUGAGCCUUAUCCUAUUUAUAGUUGUACAUUGAGGUGACAUACUUGCAUGUUGAGAUAAAUAAGUUAGUGGGGGUGACGUUCUUAGGUGUAUNNNNNNNNNNNNNNNNNNNNNNNNNNNNNNNNNNNNNNNNNNNNNNNNNNNNNNNNNNNNNNNNNNNNNNNNNNNNNNNNNNNNNNNNNNNNNNNNNNNNNNNNNNNNNNNNNNNNNNNNNNNNNNNNNNNNNNNNNNNNNNNNNNNNNNNNNNNNNNNNNNNNNNNNNNNNNNNNNNNNNNNNNNNNNNNNNNNNNNNNNNNNNNNNNNNNNNNNNNNNNNNNNNNNNNNNNNNNNNNNNNNNNNNNNNNNNNNNNNNNNNNNNNNNNNNNGAUACUAUAUUAUACCCCUUGUGUUGUCGUAGGAAUUGGUUGCAAUAUAGUUUAAUGAGAUUUGAUAGUAUGAACAUGAAUAUUUGAGUUAAAUACAAUACUGCAUAUAUUUGAUCACCUCAUAUGUGCCCUCAACUACCAGUUGAAACGGAGCUAGAAAAAAGCAUGCGCGUUAUACUUUCAUGAUACAUCGUCAAAAACGCUUUUAUAUUAUGGGACGAAGGGAGUGUUAAUUUAGAUAAUGAAUAUUUGAAUGAAUAAUAUGAGAACUAAAACUAAAACUAAAUAUAAUUUAUUUUAUUAAAUAAUUUUGCCAUGCAUGUCUGCAUGUUGAGGUGGGUCUUUUUUCAUACAUGUUUUAAUCAUGAUGCGGCAUAUAUGCAUGUUGAAAGAAAUAUGUUAGUGGAGGGCCAAGGACUAGCUAUUUAGAUAAAGAUAUAGGAAGAGUAUGGAAUUUUGGAUUAAUGAGUAUCAUGCUUCUUAACUAAUGUGUGAUGUAUUUAUUGAACUAAUGUGCACUGCAAAUUUUGUACUACAUUUCCUUUGAGCUUUUCAGUGCACUAUUUUACUAUUGCAGAUAGUAUUUUUCUAUACCAAUGUGUAUUGCAUUUUUCUACUGUACCCCCUUAGUUUUGAAUUGCACUUUAAACAAAAUGUCUACUCCAUUUUUUAUAGUGCACUUGUUGCAGGUUGUCUAGAAUCUUUUGUCGGUUUUGUAGCGCACCUUUUGACUGUUGUCUAUGGAACUCUUUGAAAAUUGUGUUAUCCUUUUGCCCACUGUAUUGGUCCGGAGUUGCCUGAUAAGACCACUAGAAAAAUAAAAUGAAUGGAACAGCUGGAGGGCGAAGCCCAGCUGGCGUCGGCGGCAGCAGGGUCCCUUCUCCCUCCUCCCCUGGUGGCUAUGGCGCGGGACGUGGCAAGCGGGCGGGGAGCACGGGAGCGCCGUGACGUGUUUAUCAUCGGAUGAUCAGUAAAGCGGAAGGGACCUUGAAGGCGAUGGAGUCAGCCAGGUGUUUGAUAAAUUUCAGUAGUAGCAGUGUCAAGUGGGGGCGGCAGCACAAGAGGAUUUCAUUUUUGGUGGUGCUCCUCGGGUGUUGAAUCGUGAAUUUCAGGGUGAAAACCUAAAGUCUGACCUUUAUUGGUUGUGUAUGCCAAUUGUCUUAUUGAAGGUAUUGUUUUGACUCCAGGGUGAAAACCUAUGAUCUUGGAUCAGACGACAACGACACUUGUGCAUUGAUUUCUUCUUGAAGGCGUCGCUUUUGAAGACAUUUUGUGUUUUCCAAGUGCUGUCUUUGGUGAUGGUUUGUGUGCUGCUGCUGAGAGGAGUUGAUUACUGUGGCGAGGCCAUUUCUUCUUCCUUUUUGUGUUUUCUUUAUGGGUUGUGUCCAUCCUGGAUGUUUUUGCGACUUCUCGUUAGUGCAGAGUCUGCGUGUAAUUGAUAUCUUCGCGAUAUUAAUAUAUUCUCCUUAAAAGAUUGUAAAAAUAAUAAAGAGAAAAUAAAAUAUAGAAAUAGAAGAUAUAUAUGUUUGAUGUAGUAGCACGAGGGAGAAUCCGAUAAAAAAUCAAUUAAGAGAUGUGAUGUUCACUCGUUGCUCGUUCAGUUAAUUAAUUAGUUGCCGCAAACUAGGCCUAGCUUAAAUGUUUAAGUUCCUUGUGGUGGAACUAACCUACCCGGGUUCAAGUUCUAUAUUUAACAUGGGUGUUCGCAUAUUUCUCAGGUGUAUUUCAAACUCUACGGCACUAUUCCUUCAAUGGUAUGGCGUAUCCGUCAACUACAAAGUGCUUGUAGUAACUUUGUUAAUCUCAAGAUAAGCCGGUUUAGUCUCUCAGAAAUGCUCAUAGGGGCGAGUGUGCGUGUGCUUGUGAGUGCCUGUGUGUAAUUGUGUUUCUCAAAUAAUAAUAAAAAUAGUUGCCAAAAGGUAAACAUGUGGCAAGGUUCCAUCCAAUCACUUUUUUUUGACAGAAAAUCCUACCACCUUAUCAAGUGACAAGACCCAGCAGAGCUGCUGACUAGGAAGGCUACUAUUGGUAGCUGGGAACCCCCACAUGGCUCAGCCGUUGCCACUUGCCAUGACCCAUGAGCCUCCAACACAAGCAACGCAGGCACACCCAGCAACCAACCAGUGCUGCCCAUGUCAUGCCCUCCAGGACAUGACACCACCCUCCCUCCCAUGAAACCCCUGGCCGACCACUGGCCGUCGUCCGAUCAGCAGCAUAGAUACGCCCCAUCUGCCAGCGGCGGGACGACGCCUCCCUCGUCCAAGCCGGCAUCAUGCCCCUGAUCUCCAGCGGAUCGACGCACCACGGCGCGCGCGCCGGCGAGGUGAUCGAGCAUGCAUGCAUGCGUCCAGGCCGGGGAGGGAGAUCGCGCCCUGGAUACGGUGCGCUGCACAAGGAAACACACGCAUCAUCGAUGACACACGCGCCACACACUCGCCCAGGCCCAGAUUUGGCAGGUGCGCGCGCAAGCGAAGGUGGCCAUAUGCAUGAAUCUCGACGCAUGGCUCAGCGGAUCGAAGCCAGCACGGUGCGCCUGCACUGCAUAAUCUUUUUUCGGGGAUAAAGACCUAAAACGCUAGCCUCCCCAUCUGCGUGUGCUCCUCCCAAGGCGCAUGCUCUGCCCGUCCCAAGGACUCGCCAUGCCAUCGCCAUGGGGAGGAUGGCGCCAAAAUCACAAACAGAUGCAAAUGUAGCAGCCCAAUGAGGCCGCAGAUUUCCGCCUUCUAGCUAGGCGCUGCAGUUCGCAACUUGUUUGCCCUGUGAUCCGAGUGCAAGUAGGACGAUGCUGUGUGUGUGUGUGUGUGAGUGUGUUUCUGACUGUCUACGUACCAAUCGAGAUUUUGGCAGAUCUCCUACCUAGUAGCUGUGAGCCUCUGAGCCUGUGAUGUCAUGGGAAAUUCAUGGUGCUCGAUAGUCAAUCCUAUGGGGAAAUCGGGGUACGUACAGUUUGCAGAUCAGUGUGUGUCAUGAGGGCAUCUGCGGGCUACUUAAUUUGGGUUCUUGACUUCUUGUGGGGAAUCCAAAGCUCUCAACUAAUCAUGUACUGGUUAUAAAAAAAAAUUAUCUGCUUACCGACCAUGUGCUGAUCUAACAUGGAUUGGACUUGUAUGUGAGGCUAGUUAAUUAGGCCUAAACCACCCUAGAACCUCAUCAUUAACUUGUUCGUCAAUGGACCGGGUGGAUGUAUUUUACUUGGAGGGAAAUGUGACGUCUGGGAUCUGGUCGAUAGGGGCUGCCUCAUGGUCUACGGGAAUAUUAUUGACACUAGUUCCUGACUUCUGGGUAUACUCUAGAUCAUAUGGUGUAGUACUCUAGAUCAUAUGGUGUACUCUAGCUUACAUGGGAUAUAUUGAUUUGUUACUCAUCUGUCAAGAAAUAUGUGUCCUGAUAGAACAUGCGAUCAGAUCUUCUUUGUAUGUUUCCGACUUCAAAAGUAUUUACAUCGGCCACUUGUUCUUUUUUCAAAGAAAACUUUGAGGAGAGUUCCUAGAGUACAAAUAGGAACCCAAAUUUGCAUCCUAUGAGACAUCCACCGCAAAAUAAGCGAGAUAGGUUACUUGUUGAUCACUUGUAAAAGAUACCAUUAAAUAUGUCUAAAUAUGUGUAUAUGACAAUGGUUAUGUAAAAUUUAUUAACACAAACGAAGAGGAAAUUAAUGACAAUAAUGCACAUUGCUUGAAAUAUAGCUUGUUGUAGAACAAUUUGGUAACAAAGACAAAAUGGGCCAAUAAGCUAGCUAAUAAGUAGGAUACCAUGAGCAUUCCUUCCAUCAUAGGCUCAAUUUAUAUCUAAUGUGAUUAUUUUUUGUCAAUUAUUUUUUUGUCAAUUUAUAUCUAAUGUGAUUAUGUUUACAUAGUAUUUUGUUAUCCUAAAUAGAGCUAACUGGCCAAUUGUCCCAAAUCAGACACAAAUCAAUGGUAACAUCACAAUCAAUCCCAAUGCCGAAUAAAGCUUCAGAAACCUAAAUUUAAAUAAAUGACCUUUCACUCUUUUAACAAAUAUUUCUUAUUAAUUGCUCCCCCAGUAUAGCAGGCAUGCCUGAUUUGAUUACUAUCUCUGCUAAAAUGGACCAUGCAAUUGAAAACUUGCAAUCAAACUACUCUAACAUCGAUAGCUAACUAGUAAAAUAAUUAAUUGGACAAAACCACGUAACUAUAUCAUCACAGAAAAUAGUUUCACAAUAAAAAUGCAAUAUUUUACUAUUCAUUCCUACAAAUAUUAAUGGUCAAAUUUGUCUAUUAAUAAAUCCGCAAAAUUUAGAACUUGUCUAUUUUGAGUCAAAGAAAGUUUUAAUUAUACUCAUUUUCAAAUUACCAAGGCGUGGUUGUUGAAUCUUGGUAUCCUUAAAUUUACUAGCCAUAGACAAAUUUGUGAAACAUAUAGUACUAGCAAACAUGCAGCAGUUGUUUUGACAAACAUGACAAUCAUAAUUCACCGAACUGAUGCAGAGGUUAGGAGGUACUUCCUCCGUCUCAAAAUAAGUGACUCAACUUUGUACUAAUUUUGUGCUGUACUUAUAACCUUCUUUUUGUACCAUUUGCUCUGAACUAGCUGGUCGAGAAUACGAGAGCAAGCUAGACGACCAAGCGAGAGCACAGCGGUGCUUCUGGGAGUUUCGACCAUUUCCGCUUUGGUGUUUCUAAGUUCCACUUGAUGAAGGUGGGCCAGGGAUGACAUACACCCAGACAGGGACCCACCGAGAGGCCGUUCAAAACAGGCCGCGAACAGAAUUUCCUCCCUUCGCCCGUCUCUAUUUAUAGGGCCCAAAAGCUCGCACACACCACACUAAUCACCAUCACCAUCCACCAUCGUCUUCUCCACGCCCGAGACACAGUGCCGAGACACGCCGGUUUUCAGCACGGAAGCAGGUGGUUUCACUCUCACCGAGCAAGCGAAGAGCUCCUCCUCCAAUGGCGCGGCCACAGCAGCGGUACCGCGGCGUGCGGCAGCGCCACUGGGGCUCCUGGGUCUCGGAGAUCCGCCACCCCCUCCUGUACGUCGCCGUCCUCGAAAGCCUAUGCGAUUGCUCUGGACCGAUCGAUUUUCUUGGCGUGUUCUGAGUUCUAACCAUGGCGGUUUUCUCUCUUGCAGCAAGACGAGGAUCUGGCUGGGCACCUUCGAGACGGCGGAGGACGCGGCGCGCGCCUACGACGAGGCGGCGCGCAUCAUGUGCGGCCCGCGCGUGCGCACCAACUUCCCCGACAACGACGCCGGCGCCCCGUCCUCGUCCUUCCUCUCCCCGGCGCUGGUCGCCAAGCUCCACCGCUUCAACGUGGCGUGCGGCUCGCAGGCCGCGCAGCAGCAGCAGGACAAGGACGCCUCGGCGUCGUCCGUGGGCGUGGACCCGCGCGCGCCGCCGGCGCCGUUCGGAGGCUACACGGGCAAUGCCAGCGCGGCGGCGGCCUCGGCGGCCGCCGGGUGGAGCGGCGGGUUCCUGGAGGAGCAGUACGUGGAGCAGAUGAUCGAGGAGCUGCUGGACUCCAACUUCUCCAUGGAGAUCUCCUACUAGCUCCUCCGCCUCCGCACAUGCUCUGCUCUGUCCCCGCGCCUCCCGCUUGCUCUGCUUCCGCUCCAUUUCUCCGUCUCUCCGUGUGUGGUGUGUGGGUGGGUUUGGUUUUAGAUUAGCAUAAGCUGUGUCGGGAAGAGCUCGAGGUUAGUAUGGUCAUCGCCCGAGGUCUCUGACAGCUUUGUGUAUACAGUAGCUUUGUUAGAGCAUAUUUCUUCGUUCUUGUAUUACUAUUGAUGUCUUGAUGAUGCCCUAAUCAGUGUCCUCUGUUUCGAUCUUCAUCUUAAGCUCUGUAUACAUUAUGGAAAAAUUUAGCACACACAACUCAUCAACCACAAACUAAGUUCACCUUGCUCAGCGAACAGUUUAACUUUUUAAAACGCACACUUUUGUCCUCUUUUAAAGUAAGUGUUUUCUUCAGGGGAAUCUCUCAUUUAAGUAUGACAAUGGGCAUACAUUUUUCAUUUGCAAAACGAACAAAAUACGCACUUUUCAUAGUACAUAAAUGCUUCACGUACUUCCUCCAUCCAUGUUUAUUAGACCCCUUCUUAUUUUGGGUCAAACUUCGAUCAUCUAUAUGACUAAUAAAAUAUAAGAUACAUGCUAUAAAAGUAUACUCUUGAAUUUUUUUUUAAUUAGCUAGGUUGAUAUAGCCUGCUGCAUCGACCCUUCCGGCGCAACAGUGGCAGUGCCAAAUAAAGUCCACUCCAAGCGCGUGUCGUUGGUUAUGGCGGUGGCAGUGGCUCCUCGUUCAAGUGAAGGGGGGAUGAGGAGGAUGUUGGCCCCAUCGACCCAGCUGCCCCCCUUGUCCGCGUGAGCGAGACCGUUGAUGUCGUGGCCCAACAGAAGGGGGAGGUGGACCCCGAGGACCCAGUCCACGCGGUGCUCGAGCUCACCGCCCUCCAAGCUCACAAUGAGGCAUGGAUAAUUUGUUUGCACUCACCAACGAGGAGGAGUAGUGGCAGCUCGUGGUUGCUGCACGUGAGUCCGACCCCUACGCCUCGAUGGAGGAUAUUUCGGUCUGGAGGAGGAGGAUGAUGACCAACGUGAAGGGCGGCGAGUAGAUGGCGCACGCCGCCGAGUAAUGUAGGUAGUCUAGGUAGCAAUGUCGCCCGAGCAGCGACAUUGCUUAUUUUAAAUGUUGUUUAACGACAUUUGAAGUUGCUAACUAUAUGUAGAGAGUAUCAUGCCAACCAGGCAAUUUUAAUGAGACACAGAAUUAAAUAAAAAAAGAGGGGGUUUAGCAUGAUAUCUACCGUAUCAUAAUAAAUGAUAUAGUACUAAAUAUUUUGCAUGUUAAUAAUUAAAGCCAUCUAUGAUACUGAUCUAUAAUAUUAUGCAUUACAGAGGUAAUAUUAUGCAUUAUACUAACUAUGAUAUUUUCCACUACAAGCAGCUUAAUGCGACGGAUAUGGGCCCCAUUAUAGUUUCAUUAUAUUCCUAUUAAUUUAUCAUGAUGAAACAUGUGUUUGGCAUGUAUGAUUUGAGCUUAAAUUGCCCCUGCAUUUUGAAGAAAAUGAAGGGUACAUUACGAAGGCUCUUCGUACGCCUGUCGCGGCUUCUAUAUUCAUAUGGAGCGUUUCAUAUGAUGAUGGAUGACGAUUAUAGAUAUGACGAAUCUGCUAGAGUUGCUCCGACUAGCCGAAGUCCUGAAGAUGCAAACAGCAUUGCACGACGCAGUACAUAUCCCGCGUAUCAGCCGAGACUUAUGAACCAUGAUGAGCGGUACUAACAAGCUGACCUUUCGCCCCGCGAGCAGACCGAAUGCAGAGUGCUACACGGCUACGAAUCUGAAUCUCGGCACCCCAAGUACGCAGCAGGUGGGAGCACCCGCACUUAUGGCCUGACCUGCGUGCGGAGCAGAGCACAGGGACGACACGCGCUGGGUACGUACUCCCUCGCUGCCCGGCACUGAACAAGCCGGAUUCGCUCCCUCGCUGCACCAUUGGCAGGCAGGGGCCAAUCCGUGGAUCAGAAAAUCUCGGUCGAUUCAGGUAGGUGCCGGGGUAAUUGCCGCGCCUCUGCGCCCGCGCCGGUGCGUCACCGAUGACAUUGGCGCUGACGGCGGCCGAGCAGCCGAGGGAGAACCGGUCUGGGUCUUCCUUGGGUGUAUACAGUCUUCUCGUGAUCGUGGUUGCAUGUGGCAGGCACACGCCCGCCGUGGUCUGGAGGGCCGGAGAAGGACCGAUCAUGGCGAGGGGAGGGGAACGAGAGCGGAGAGCCGGGCUCAGUCGCGUCAGCGGCUGCAUUUUUUCAUCGUUGUGCAAUGUGCUGUGCCACUAGUGUGAGGGCAAUGAGCUUGAACGUCUAGCGCCGAGUUGCGUUGAAUUCACCAGGAGCGAAAUAUAUUUCGAAUAUCUAAACAUUCGGUCAGCUCCUUUUUUUUGAGACAAAUUUGGUCAGCUCCUGAAUCAUCCCGGUGGAUCGGAAAACAAAAGCCCAUGCGCAUGGGCCGUGCGAGAAGCCAUGCGUAAGGCCGACGGGUAGUUAGUUGGCUAGGCCAAGCCCGAUCGAGGAGGAUAGAUAAGCAUAGUUCGGCCUGGUCAUGCGUUUCCUCAGUUGUAAAACUCACUGUCCAGCUCCAUCGAAACUCUGAAAUUCCUCUUUGGAAAAUCACACACUCUUUCUUUCAAAUAGUUUUUUUUCCUCAAGUUGGUUGAACUGGUUGGUGCAUGAACUCAAAGUCUCAAACACAAAAAUGUGAAACCGUAUGCUGCUUGUUUUCUCCACCCAACCUAAGUGAAAUUAUUCCAGACUCAUAGGUCAAUCAAAAUCAAGAGCAGAUUCGGUCUACGCAUGCUGUGACAUUGCACUCUGCCGAUCUGUUUUGACGAUUGCCAGCCGAUCGAAUUAGUAGGUCAUCCAUGCACAAAAAUUAAAUGCAGAUUCAGGAACCAAAGAAGGAAAACAAGACACGUAUGUAUAAACAACUAGAUGAUUCCCCGCGCGUUGCUGCGGAAAAUAUUGCCUAAAGUUGGUGUUUUACUCAUAUCGACUGUCUUAAAAGGAUCAACAAAACAAUUAUAGAUGAUUCUGCUGACAACAAUACUUUAGAAUGAUACAUGCCUAUUGAUAGAUAUGUAAGUAAGGUCAAUCAUCCUACUUAUAUCAUUUAAAAUAUGGAGAACAGACAAAAAAUUGGAACAGAGGAUAUUAUGGUCAAUUACCCAUGAAACCAACUGGUUAAAGAUUUAUAUGUUACCAUCUCUGAUUCUUGUGCGAAUGGAAAAAACUACCAAGCUGCAACUCAAACAUCACCACCUUGACCACAAGUCUUGAUUGUGCCUAAUCUGCAUCAGAACCCCCAUGUAACUUUACUUUAAUCCAUCCCACAACAGGACGUAAAUGAAUGUCAUACAAAUGCCAUUAGUCCUGAAAGAAUAUUAAGACUUUCACCUUCUAAAGACUCUGUAGUGUUUAGUUGUAGUUUCAUCAGAAAGCUCCCUCUUGUGAGUAAUACUAUGGAUUGGGUAACAUAUGCAGAAAAACAACAAACUAAAUCCACUGAUUAGUGCAUUGCCUUUAACAAAAUGGAUUCAUUGAGGUGGUGCCAAGAUUGCAAAAUAAAAUAGCAGUCUAAUUCUCAUGUUUUCAUCCAUUCUCUAAAGGAUAAUUUGUAGUUGAGACGUGAAACACAGUGAGAAAUAGAGAAGAACUGAAAGACUGCACUUUUCUAAAAUUUGAUACCUCAUAGUAUGUAUAACCAUUUCCAUCUACAUCAUCAUCCAUGCUUGACUGGGCAAUUAUCAAGUUGAAGUUGUAUGUUAGGAAACUACAUAGUCAAAACAACAGAAAUCUGUAAACAUCGAGAUACUUCUGUUAUUCAUAGAAGAUACAUUUAAUUUGCAUUGCAAUUAGUUAAUAUAAGAACAAAUAUGUGAUGGUCGACAAAGAAGAUUAUGGAUGGCACAUAAAAAGAACGUCUGACCUUUUACAUAGCAAUUUCGUCGAAUAUCUUCAACAAUACACAACAUUAAGAUCUUGGCAAAUAUGAUUCUCAAAAGGGAAUGGAAGAAUGGGAGUUGCAUCGAGUGGAUGAUAGCAUUGCUUUCCUCAAUGGUUCAUGAACAUGGUUCAUAAAAUAUAGGCUGUGCACAAACAGAAUAUCAGGGAAAAUUAGAUCAAUCUAUAGCAUUUUUUGUAUAUCUUAAUUGACCUUUUUUUUCCUGAAUCUCGGGUGUACCCAUGUAUGUGAAAUUUUGAGUAAGCACAUGACACCAUGAAACUCUUCAGUGUGGCUGAGAAAAUAAAAUGAGCAAAAGUACCUCGAAAUAUUCAAUAAAGUUAAAUCCUUAUCUUGAGAAACCAUAAUAUUUAUAAUUUAUGCCCCCAUGAAAAGUUCAUAAUUUAUGGAACACCAUUCAGUUUCAGUGAUCUCUCAUUGACCAUACGAAAGAUGAAACUCUAGAAUAAUUUAUAAAUGCAUCCAUACAAAUAUGCAUUUUACCUAAAAUCUAUUAUUCAUUCUUUUGGAUAUAGUUCACCAUUUAUGCCGAAUGAUCCUUUACCUAAAAUCUAUACAAAACACUUAUACAAUGUUUAGUAUAGAUGAAAUUAUUGCGGAAUUCAGGAAGAAAAAAAAGUAAGCCAUCACGAUCAGCACUAAAACAUGUAUAUGACUUACCCGAGAAACAUAAAUAUGCAUAUACCUUCAGAUCGUUGCAUGUGUGCGAAGUAACCCGCGGUAAAAAAUUGAAAUUUACUAAGAAAAAAUGUUCAGAGUUAGACCACAGAAAGCAACACAUCAAUUCGAAAUGCCUUGAGUUAUUGCAAAAAGAAUUUGUUUACCAGCUAGAACGCAAUGUGUAUAAUCUGUCCACGAGAAGCAUGAAAAAGACAGCGAUUUCAAUACCCCUUUCAGGAAUGAUUCAAGAGAAUUUAUUAGAGAGAGAGAGAGAGAGAGAGAGAGAGAGAGACUUCGUAGAAGCUAAAAAUCAAUGGAAUAACUUCCUUCUUGUUAAUUUAUAAGACUUGGAAUAAUGAAUAUACUCGAUUCAAUCAACUUUUAGUACCUAUGUAUAACAUCAUAGAACAAGGAAAAGAGGAUGAACUGGUCAGGAGUCAUAACUGUUAACAUACUUGUAUUUGUACUGUACUCUGUUGUACUUUGACUAGCUGUUGUAAUAGCUGUUGUAUCCUCUCCUACUUUCUAGGAUCACUAACCACUCUCCCGUCAUGGCCUGCGUGCCUUGCAUAAUGGGAGACUUGGGUUCUCUGAUAUAUAUGUACCCUGUAACCUGCUCCAAAUCGUUGAAUACAACAGCACAAUGAGAACCAUCUCGUCUAUCUUGGUAUCAGCUUCCAUGGCCUUCGAGGACAUCUUCGGCGACCUCUCCUCUCCGGCCGCCUCCGCCACUGCUGCUGCCGACCUUCAGUCCUUUCCUCCUGGUUCCUCUGCACCUCCCACCCCCACUCUUCCUGCCGCCACCUCUGCUCUUUUCACCAUGGUAGUUCCUCCUGCAGAUCCCUACCUCCUCAACUUCCAUCAAGAUCACAUCUCCAACCAUAUCACCUUCAAACUUGAUCCCUCUGCCAACAACUACAUCAAGUGGAGGGCUUUCUUCAACUGCGUUCUCCAGCAACACCGUGUCCAAGAUCACGUUCUCCAGCCGCCUCCCGCCCAGCCCGAUCCUACCUGGCUUGCUGUCGAUCUACGGCUGAUCCUCUGGAUUCUUUUCACCUUGGCCGACUCCCUCCUUGAGCUCAUCGUGGGAGGCGCGACCGACGCCUACACCGCCUGGACCCGUAUCCGGGACUACUUCCAAGCCAACCAAGGUGCUCAAUACCUUCAUCUCACUCGUCAGUUCCAUAACCUCAAGCAGGGUGACCUCACGGUCUCGGACUAUGCACGGCGCCUGAAGGCGCUCGCCGACGCCCUUGCGGACACCGGCCACCCCGUCAAGGACCACGACCUAAUAAUGCAGCUCCUGCACGACCUCGACGCCCGCUUCGACACCAUCCGCACCAUCCUCGGCGACACCGUUCCUCUGCCUCCUUUCGCCGCCACGCGGUCCCGGCUCGAUCUCACGGAGUACAACCUCAAUCUCCGCAUAGCUGAGGCGGGAUCCGCGGCCCUCACCAUCACUGGCGAUCCCAGCACCAACCCUGACCGCGGUGAUCAUGGUGACCGAUCUGAUCGCGGCGACCGCGCUCGUCCUUCUGGCCGUGGCACUAGUGACGCCCGCGGCAACAGUGGUGGCGGUCGUGGCCGUGGCCGUGGUCACAACGGCGGUCGCGGUCGUGGCCGCUCGAACUCUGGCGGCCGUGGGUCCUCGUCUUACCCGCCGUCGCCGUGGACCCGCUACUUCGCUCGGUUCGGCAUGGCAUUGCCGGCUCCCCGCCCCGACUGGGUGAUACGUCUCUGUCGUAUCUACUUUUCCAAACACUUUUGCUCUUAUUUUGGACUCUAACUUGUAUGAUUUGAAUGGAACUAACCCGGACUGACGUUGUUUUCAGCAGAAUUACCAUGGUGUUAUUUAUGUGCAGAAACAAAAGUUCUCGGAAUGACCUGAAACUUCACGGAACGUCUUUUUGGAAAUAAUAAAAAAUCCUUGCAAAAGAUGAAGACCAGGGGGCCCACACCCUGGCCACGAGGGUGGGGGGCACGCCUGCCCCCCUGGGCGCGCCCCCUACCUCGUGGGCCCCCCUGGAGCUCCUCCGACCUCAACCCCAACUCUAUAUAUUCACUUUUGAGUAGGAAAAAAUCAAGGAGAAGGAUUCAUCGCGUUUUACGAUACGGAGCCGCCGCCAAGCCCUAAAACCUCUCGGAAGGGCUGAUCUGGAGUUUGUUCAGGGCUCAGGAGAGGGGAAUCCGUCGCCAUCGUUACCAUCAACCAUCCUCCAUCACCAAUUUCAUGAUGCUCACCGUUGUGCGUGAGUAGUUCCAUCGUAGGCUUGCUGGACGGUGAUGGGUUGGAUGAGAUUUAUCAUGUAAUCGAGUUAGUUUUGUUAGGGUUUGAUCCCUAGUAUCCACUAUGUUCUGAGAUUGAUGUUGCUAUGACUUUGCUAUGCUUAAUGCUUGUCAUUAGGGCCCGAGUGCCAUGAUUUCAGACCUGAACCUAUUAUAUUUUCAUCAAUAUAUGAGAGUUCUUGAUCCUAUCUUGCAAGUCUAUAGUCACCUACUAUGUGUUAUGAUCCGGCAACCCCGAAAUGACAAUAAUCGGGAUCACUCCCGAUGAUGACCGUAGUUUGAGGAGUUCAUGUAUUCACUAUGUGUUAAUGCUUUGGUCUGGUACUCUAUUAAAAGGAUGCCUUAAUAUCCCUUAGUUUCCAUUAGGACCCCGCUGUCAUGGGAGGGCAGGACAAAAGAUGUCAUGCAAGUUCUUUUCCAUAAGCACGCAUGACUAUAUUCGAAAUACAUGCCUACAUUACAUUGAUGAAUUGGAGCUAGUUUUGUGUCACUCUAGGUUAUGACUAUUACAUGAUGAACCACAUCUGGCAUAAUUCUCUAUCACCGAUCCAUUGCCUACGAGCUUUCCAUAUAUUGUUCUUCGCUUAUUUACUUUUCCGUUGCUAUUUCUAUCAUCACUACAAAAUACCAAAAACACUACUUUUGCUACCAUUACCUUUUGCUAUCGUUACCACCACUAUCAUAUUACUUUGCUACUAAAUACUUUGUUGUAGAUAUUAAGUUUCCAGGUGUGGUUGAAUUGACAACUCAGCUGCUAAUACUUGAGAAUAUUCUUUGGCUCCCCUUGUGUCGAAUCAAUAAAUUUGGGUUGAAUACUCUACCCUCGAAAACUGUUGCGAUCCCCUAUACUUGUGGGUUAUCAAGACUAUUUUCUGGCACCGUUGUCGGGGAGCAUAGUUCUAUUCUUUGAGUCACUUGGGAUUUAUAUCUGCUUAUCAUUUUGAAGAACUUGAGAGUCCAAAAACCAAUAUUUAUCCCUCAACUACGAGGGGAGGUAAGGAACUGCCAUCUAGCUCUGCACUUGAUUCACCUUCUAUUUUGAGUAAGCUUGCGACACCUAAACCUGCUUCUGCUAUUCGUUCUGAUAUGUCGCAUGUUAUUGAUGAUGCCACUUCUGCUAUGCAUGAUACUUAUGAUGAAACUACUUCUAUGCUUGAUACUACUAUGCCACUUGGUGAAUUUCUUGAUGAACAACUUGCUAGGGCUAGAGAGAAUGAAAUUAUUGAAACUAAUAAUAUUGAUGAUAGUGAUGAUGAAGACUCUCCCCCUAAUAAAUAUGAAUUGCCUGAUGUGCCUGAGGGCUAUGUUAUGGAUGAAUAAAUUGCUAAAGCUACCUUUGCUUGCAAUGAUAGAUAUGAUGUUAAGAAAUUAUUAGCUAAAUGGAAGCAUCAAUCUCUUAAUGCUAGAAUGAAAGCUGACCCUGCUUUUGCUACUUCACCUAUCUGUGUUACUGAUAAGGAUUAUGAAUUCUCUAUUGAUCCUAAUAUAAUUACUUUGGUUGAAUCUGAUCCUUUUCAUGGCUAUGAAUCUGAAACUGUUGUGGCACAUCUUACUAAAUUAAAUGAUAUAGCCACCCCGUUCACUAAUGAUGAGAGAACUCACUACUUUUACAUCCUUAAAAUAUUUCCGUUCUCAUUAAAGGGUGAUGCUAAGAUAUGGUUUAAUUCUCUUGAUCCUGGUUGUGUGCGUAGUCCCCAGGAUAUGAUUUAUUACUUCUCUGCUAAAUAUUUCCCUGCUCAUAAGAAACAAGCUGCCUUAAGGGAUAUAUAUAAUUUUGUGCAAACUGAAGAAGAGAGUCUCCCACAAGCUUGGAGGAGGCUUCUCAAGUUACUUAAUGCUUUGCCUAAUCAUCCUCUUAAGAAAAGUGAAAUACUUGAUAUCUUUUAUAGUGGACUAACCGAUGCUUCCAGAGAUUACCUGGAUAGUUGUGCUGGUUCUGUUUUCAGGGAAAGAACACUGGAUGAAGCUGAAAUUUUAUUGAAUAAUAUGUUGACAAAUGAAAAUAAUUGGACACUUUCUGAGCCAACUCCUGAGCCUAUUCCUAAACCAACUCCGAAGAAAAGAGGUGUUCUAUUUCUCAGUCCUGAAGAUAUGCAAGAGGCAAAGAAAUCUAUGAAAGAAAAAGGUAUUAAAGCUGAAGAUGUUAAGAAUUUACCUCCUAUUGAAGAAAUACUUGGUCUUAAUUUACCGCCUGUUGAAGAAACAUAUGAUCUUAAUCCAUUACCUAUUGAAGAAAUACAUGGUCUUGAUAACCCGAGACAGGUAGUAAAAGUAAAUUCUCUCUAUAGAUAUGAUAAAGCUGAAAUCCCAUUUACUAAAUUUUCUAGCCCAUGCUUAGAUGAGUUUGAUAAAUUUAUGGUUAAGCAAGAAGACUUCAAUGCUUAUUUUGGUAGAGAAUUAAAACGCAGUGCUGAUAUGCUUGAACACUUGGGUGAUUAUAUGACUAAUGUUAAAGGUGAACUUAAACUCAUUAGUAAACAUGCUUCUAUGGUUACCACUCAAGUAGAACAAGUACUUAAAGCUCAAAAUGAUUUGCUCAAUGAAUUGAACAGUAAGAAUAAUGAUUAUGCUGUUAGAGUGGCUACUAGAACUGGUAGAAUGACUCAGGAACCUCUGUAUCUUGAAGGCCACCCUAAGAGAAUUGAGCAAGAUUCUCAAAAAAAUAAUAUAGAUGCACCUAGUCCUUCUAAAAGGAAGAAAAAGAAAAAUGAUAGGACUUUGCAUGCUUCUAGUGAACCUAUUGCUGAAACAUCCGAGAAUCCAAAUGAUAUUUCUAUUUUUGAUGCUGAAACACAAUCUGGUAAUGAACCUGAAACUAGUGAUAAUGUUAAUGAUACUGUCCAUGUUGAUGCUCAACCUAGCAAUGAUAAUGAUAUAGAAAUUGAACCUGCUGUUGAUCUUGAUAACCCACAAUCAAAGAAUCAACGUUAUGAUAAGAAAGACUUUGUUGAUAGGAAACAAGGUAAAGAAAGAGAACCAUGGGUUCAGAAACCCAUGCCUUUUCCUCCCAAACCAUCCAAGAAAAAGGAUGAUGAUGAUUUUGAGCGCUUUGCUGAAAUGAUUAGACCUAUCUUUUUGCGUAUGCGAUUAACUGAUAUGCUCAAAAUGAAUCCUUAUGCUAAGUAUAUGGAAGAAAUUGUUACUAAUAAAAGAAAGAUACCGGAAGCUGAAAUUUCCACCAUGCUUGCUAAUUAUACUUUUAAGGGUGGAAUACCAAAGAAACUUGGAGAUCCAGGAGUACCCACUAUACCAUGCUCCAUUAAAAGAAACUAUGUUAAAACUGCUUUAUGUGAUCUUGGAGCCGGUGUUAGUGUUAUGCCUCUCUCUUUAUAUCAUAGACUUGAUUUGAAUAAGUUGACACCCACUGAAAUAUCUUUGCAAAUGGCUGAUAAAUCAACUGCUAUACCUAUCGGUAUUUGUGAGGAUGUGCCUGUUGUGGUUGCAAACGUUACUAUUUUAACGGACUUUGUUAUUCUUGAUAUUCCCGAGGAUGAUAGUAUGUCUAUUAUUCUUGGAAGACCCUUUUUGAAUACUAUAGGUGCUGUUAUUGAUUGCAACAAAGGCAAUGUCACUUUUCAUGUUAAUGGUAAUGAGCAUAUGGUACACUUUCUGAAGAAACAACCUCAAGUCCACAGUAUCAAUUCUAUUGGAAAAAUUCCAUCGAUUAUUUUUGGAGGAUUUGAAUUUCCUCUUCCCACUGUCAAGAAGAAAUAUGAUAUUCUUAUUAUUGGGGAUGUGCAUAUCCCCGUUGAGGUAACCUAGUGUUAUUCGAAAAUUCUCCGGUUCCAUGUUAUUCGGAAUGAGUUUGUUAACAAGACUUGAUCAACCUUGUUAAUGGAUUCCUUUUGAUGAUCAUGAGAUGGAUGAAUUUAGAAAACACAACUCUCUAUACCCUCUUUCUACUUUCUGUUAUUUAUAUUAAAUAAAAUUAAAAUAAGUAUUUUCCGUCUGUUAUCUCAUUUAUCCGUGCAAUAUAAAAAUACCCCGAAAAUAAAAGUUCUCCAAAUGCCCUGAAAUUUAAAUAUGAUUUUUUCUGGAAUAUUUGAGAAUAUUUGGCACUGAGAACACAGUAGGGGGGCAUCCACCUGGCCACGAGGGUGGAGGGCACGCCCUACCCCCCUGGGCGCUCCCCCUGCCUCGUGGGCCCAUGGUGGCCCUCCUCCACUUAUUCCUGCACCCACACACUUCUUCUUCCUCCCACAAACACCAAUAUCCAGCUCAAGCACGAGUUCUAGCUCAUUUUGCUGCGAUUUUCGAUCUCCUUGCUCAAAGCACCUCUCACAAAACUACUUGGGGAGAUUGUUCCUUGGUAUGUGACUCCUCCAUUGGUCCAAUUAGUUUUUGUUCUAGUGCUCUAUUCAUUGCAAAUUUGUGCUGCCUAGGUGACCAUGUUCUUGAGUUUGCAUGUCAAAUUUACAUGGUUCCAAGUAGCUCUAAUGCAUGAUGUAGGCUCUAGGCACUUGCAGGAGUAGUUGCUAUCAAUUUUGUUGAGUUUGGUUCACUUUUAUUUUGAAGUUACUAAAACUUUUAGAAUUUUUCAGAAAAUAAUGAAGAGAUUUUUGAGGGGCUCAUUGAGCCGAAGCUCGAAGGAAAAGCAAAAUGAAAAAGUAGAGAGGCCCAAAUAUAAUCUGCCUCGCACCGCGAAGGUUCGGCCGUGUGAAUGGCCUUCCGAUGAUUUCUUGAGAGCAACCGGGAUUUAUGACGAUUUUUAUGAAUUGGAUGAGAAUGCAGGCCUCACCGCCUUCCUCCACAACCAACACGAACAUCAAGUACCUUGUUCCUAUAGAGGCUAUUCACGCCUACCGGAACCCUACAUCAGCCACAGAGCCAGAGUCGGAACCACAAGUUAAUCCUCCAUGACAGUCUAAUUACUAGUGGGAUCCGGAGAUGAUUGCCAACCAGUGGCAAUCAGAGUCUUCUUCUUUGCAGUACGACCCCAACUAUUACUAUGGAUAUCCGUCAGGUCAGCCGUGGCCAUAGACCAACUUAGGCCAAAAGCCUAAGCUUGGGGGAGUACGCAUUUCUCACCGACAUUACAUUUAUGUUCACACACUCAUUGUUAGAUGUCGGUGCUCAUACUUUUUCAUUGUAAUAUCCAUGCUAGUUUAUUUUCCUUUUUAUGCUUUCUCCUUGUGUGUUUAAUAAACCUUAAGAAAAACCAAAAAAAAUUAGUUGUAGCUUUUAAUUAGUUUACUUUCCAUGCUUGUAGUAGUAAUUAAAAAGAAAACCCAAAAAAGAUUUCAUGUUCUUCUUUUGCUUGUUGGGAGCUUUCCCGUGUAAAUAGUUUUAUUUCUUUCCUUUUCUUUGGGGGUCGAUAGGAGAAGACCAUAAUUAAAUUGUUGAAGUGGCUCUUAUAAGCAUUAUUGUUGAUCUGACAAAAGAACCCAUAUUGCCUUGUCUUCUCCUGUUUAUUAAAUGCUUGCAGAUUCCAGCUUAGUCCAAUGCACGUGCACUAUUAUUAUUAUCCACAUCGUUCGGUCAUGCAAGUGAAAGGCAAUUAUGACGAUAUAUGAUGGACUGACUGAGAUGAGAAAAGAUGGUAUGAACUCGACCUCUCUUGUUUUUGUAAAUAUGAUUAGUUCAUCGUUCCUGAUUCAGUGUAUUAUGAAUAAACAUGUUUGCAAUGACAACUAGAGAUCAUAGUUUCUUGUGCCAUGCUUGAUUAGCUAGGAGCUUAUAAUGGUUUACCUUGCGUGCCAACAUGCUAUUAAAAUGGUUGUGAUGUGGUAUGAUAGGGUGGUAUCCUCCUCUGAAUGAUUUAAGUGACUUGACUUGGCACAUGUUCAUGCAUGUAGUUGAAACAAAAUCAACAUAGUCUCUACGAUAUUUAUGUUCAUGGUGCAUUAUAUCCUACUCAUGCUUGCGUUCGGUGUUGAUUAAUUUUAAUGCAUGUUCAUGACUGUUGUCGCUCUCUAGCUGGUCGCUUCCCAGCCUUUUUCUAGCCUUCACCUGUACUAAGCGGGAAUACUGCUUGUGCAUCCAACUCCAUAAACCCCAAAGUUAUUCCAUAUGAGUCCACCAUACCUACCUAUAUAUGGUAUCUACCUACCGUCCAAGUAAAUUUGUAUGUGCCAAACUCUAAACCUUCAAAUAAAUAUCCUGUUUUGUAUGCUCGAAUAUCUCAUGUAUCAACUAGGGCUGUCCGUAUCUUCCAUGUUAGGCGGGUUAUUCUCAAGAGGAGUGGACUCCGCUCCUCACUCACGAGAAAAUGGCUGGUCACCGGGAUGCCCAGUCCCAUGCUUUAUGCAAACUAAAUCAAAAUAAUUGCAAACAAAACUCCCCCUGGGACUCUUGUUAGUUGGAGGCACUCGUUGUUUUGAGCAAGCCAUGGAUUGAUGCUUGUUGGUGGAGAGGGAGUAUAAACUUUACCAUUCUGUUUGGGAACCACCUAUAAUGUGUGCAACAUAGAAGAUACCGCCAUCUCUUGGUUGUUAUGUUGACAAUGAAAGUAUACCGCUCAAAAUAUUAUUCACCUCUAUUUCAAAACCGAGCUCUGGCACCUCUACAAAUCCCUGCUUCCCUCUGCGAAGGGCCUAUCUAUUUACUUUCAUGUUGAGUCAUCAUCCUCUUAUUAAAAAGCACCAGUUGGAGAGCACCACUAUCAUUUGCAUUCCUUGCUGUUAGUUUACAUUGAGUAUGACUUGACUGGAUCUCUUUUACCAUGAAUUACAAUGUCUAGUCAGUCCUUGAUCUUUAAAGGUGCUCUGCAUUUAUGUUUUGCGGUCUCAGAAAGGGCUAGGGAGAUACCAUCUUGUUAUAUCAUAUUAUGAUUGUUUUGAGAAAGUGUUGUCAUCCGAGAUUUAUUAUUAUUGCUCGCUAGUUGAUUAUGCAAUUGAUAUGAGUAAACAUGAGACCUAUGCGUUAUUGUGAGUAUGGUUAGUUCAUAAUCUUUGUUGAAAACUUGAAAUCUAGCUUUACAUAUUUACAACAACAAGAGCAAACAGAGUUUGUAAAAGUUUUUCUUUAUCACUUUCAGUUUAUCAACCGAAUUGCUUGAGGACAAGAAAAGGUUUAAGCUUGGGGGAGUUGAUACGUCUCCGCCGUAUCUACUUUUGCAAACACUUUUGCCCUUGUUUUGGACUCUAACUUGCAUGAUUUGAAUGGAACUAACCCGGACUGACGCAGUUUUCAACAGAAUUACCAUGGUGUUAUUUAUGUGCAGAAACAAAAGUUCUUGGAAUGACAUGAAACUUCACGGAACGUAUUUUUGGAAAUAAUAAAAAAUCCUUGCAAAAGAUGAAGACCAGGGGCCCAGACCCUAGCCACGAGGGUGGGAGGCGCGCCCCCUACCUCGUGGGCCCCCUGGAGCUCCUCCGACCUCAACACUAACUCUAUAUAUUCACUUUCGGGUAGAAAAAUCAAGGAGAAGGAUUCAUCACAUUUUACGAUACGGAGCCGCCGCCAAGCCCUAAAACCUCUCGGGAGGGCUGAUCUGGAGUCCGUUCGGGGCUCCGGAGAGGGGAAUCCAUCGCCAUCGUCACCAUCAACCAUCCUCCAUCACCAAUUUCAUGAUGCUCACCACCGUGCGUGAGUAAUUCCAUUGUAGGCUUGCUGGACGGUGAUGGGUUGGAUGAGAUUUAUCUUGUAAUCAAGUUAGUUUUGUUAGGGUUUGAUCGCUAGCAUCCACUAUGUUCUGAGAUUGAUGUUGCUAUGACUUUGCUAUGCUUAAUGCUUGUCACUAGGGCCCGAGUGCCAUGAUUUCAGAUCUGAACCUAUUAUGUUUUCAUCAAUAUAUGAGAGUUCUUGAUCCUAUCUUGCAAGUCUAUAGUCACCUACUAUGUGUUAUGACUCGGCAACCCCGAAGUGACAAUAAUCGGGACCACUCCCGGUGAUGACCGUAGUUUGAGGAGUUCAUGUAUUCACUAUGUGUUAAUGCUUUGGUCUGGUACUCUAUUAAAAGGAGGCCUUAAUAUUCCUUAGUUUCCAUUAGGACCCUGCUGCCACGGGAGGGUAGGACAAAAGAUGUCAUGCAAGUUCUUUUCCAUAAGCACGCAUGACUAUAUUCGGAAUACAUGCCUACAUUACAUUGAUGAAUUGGAGCUAGUUCUGUGUCACUCUAGGUUAUGACUGUUACAUGAUGAACCGCAUCUGGCAUAAUUCUCUAUCACCGUUCCAUUGCCUACGAGCUUUCCAUAUAUUCUUCGCUUAUUUACUUUUCCGUUGCUAUUGCUAUCAUCACUACAAAAUACCAAAAACACUACUUUUGCUACCAUUACCUUUUGCUAUCGUUACCACUACUAUCAUAUUACUUUGCUAUAGAUAUUAAGUUUCCAGGUGUGGUUGAAUUGACAACUUAGCUGCUAAUACUUGAGAAUAUUCUUUGGCUCCCCUUGUGUCGGAUCAAAAAAUUUGGGUUGAAUACUCUACCCUCAAAAACUCUUGCAAUCCGCUAUACUUGUGGGUUAUCACUGGGUCCCUUCCAACGCUGCUGGCAUCUUCGGCCCUUGCCCAGGGGUUCAUUCACAGGCCUAACCGUUGAUGUACUCUUGCCCAACCCCUUAGCAGCCGGGCCCUUCCACCUUCCCUCUCAGCGCUCCUGGCUGGGAUCAUGUCGCCCUUCUCCAGCAAGCCUACAGCCUGCUGGGUCUGCCCCAACACGGUGUGGACUGGAUCCUCGACUCUGGCGCCGCCACACAUGUCACGGAUAACGCAGGUAACCUCUCCUCGUUUCAUUCUUUUCCAAAGCACAAUUCUGCUAGCAUCAUCGUCGGCAAUGGUGCUCGCUUGCCUAUUUCUGGCGUUGGUUCCACCACUCUCCCUCCCACGAAUCUCUCUCUCCACGAUGUUGUCGUUUGCCCUUCCAUCGUUAAAGAUCUCAUAUCUGUUCGUAAAUUGUCUUGUGAUAAUAAUGUUUCUGUUGAGUUUAACCCCUCUGGUUUCUCCGUGAAGGCUCUUCCAACCAGGACGCCCAUCAUGACGUCCAGUAGCCCAGGCCCUCUCUACUCAUUCUACGGCAAGCACACCCCUGGCGGCACCACGUUCUUCAUCACUCCAGGAGAUUUGUGGCACCAACGUCUUGUCCAUCCCGGCAAGGCAUCCUUAGCAUCUAUUUCUAAAGAUUUUCUUCCCAAUUGUAAUAAUGCUGCACGAUCCCCUUGUACGGCUUGCCAACUUGGACGACAACCUCAUUUAUAUUUUACUUCUUCCAAUAAUUGUAAUAGUGCUCCAUUUCAACUUAUUCACUAUGAUCUCUGGACCGCUCCGCUUACGAGUUUUUCAGGCAAUCAAUAUUAUCUUCUCAUCCUUGACGAUUUUUCCCACUACUCGUGGACAUUUCCCUUAUGUCAUACAUCUGAGACUUCGCCUACUCUCCAACGCUUCUUUACCUACAUCCUCACCCAAUUCCUUACUCUUAUUAAGUGCAGACAAUGUGAUAACAAUGGCCAAUUCAUUAACACUUCCCUUCGUACUUUUUCUCCAACCACGGUAUCAUCUACUGUCUCUCUUGCCCCCAUACCUCUCCACAAAACGGAAAGGUCGAGCGCAUGAUACGAACCACCAACGACGUCCUUCGCACACUCCUUCUCCAUGCUUCCCUUCCACCACCCUUUUGGGUUGAGGCUUUACACACUGCUACACAUCUACUUAAUCGUCGUCCAUCGAUCCGCACUACGCCCCACAGCCCCUAUUUUCUUCUUACCAGUGUUCAACCAUGCUAUGAUCAUCUACGGGUUUUUGGGUGCCUCUGUUUUCCCAACCUAUACGUCACUAGCCCUCACAAAUUAGCCCCCCGUUCCACCCGUUGCGUUUUCCUAGGCUACACCUUGGAGCAUAAAGGCUACUGCUGCUUCGAUCUCACUUCACGUCGGGUUAUUAUUUCUUGGCAUGUCAUUUUUGAUGAAUCAAUCUUUCCAUACACGCCUCCUUCCCUGACUGCCACACCCACACAUGUCGCAGAUAAUCCCGCCCGUGAUCACCUGGCCAUGCAACGUAUCCGCCCCGGGAUCCUCUCCCCACUUCCCUCCGCUGCCAGCGGUCCCAUGCCAUCCACCCCACCUUCCUCUCCACCCAAUCCCGCGUCUUCCACGCCCCGCGGCUCCCCCACCGAGCCGAUCGCAUCUGACCACCCACCCAGCCCGUGUCCCGCGGCGCCUUCCCAUUCGCCCCAUGCGCAUUCUCAUGCACCGCCUGCACCCGAUUCCCUCGGAUCGUCCCCCAAUAUCUUCCUCGGAUCUGCCGUGGAUUCUGCCUCCACCUCGCUCUCUUCCUCUACUCUGGACCCCACCGCAUCAACAUCGUCUUCUGAGCUGUCCACCCCCAGUCCGCCAUGUCGUCCUGUAGUCCCCGUCGCACCACAUGUUAAUUCACAUAAAAUGAUGACCUGGGCCAAACGCGGUUUCACUCAACCACCCCUCACCACCUCCCAAACUAUUUCACCACUCCCUUCUUCCUAUAAAGCAGCCUUAAAGGAUCAACAUUGGUACGAUGCUUGAUACGUCUCCAACUUAUCUAUAAUUUUUGAUUGCUCCAUGCUAUAUUAUCUACUGUUUUGGACAUUAUUGGGCUUUAUUAUCCACUUUUAUAUUAUUUUUGGGACUAACCUAUUAACCGGAGGCCCAGCCCAGAAUUGUUGUUUUUUUGCCUAUUUUAGGGUUUCGAAGAAAAGGAAUAUCAAACGGAGUCCAAACGGAAUGAAACCUUCGGGAACAUGAUUUUUGGAAUGAACAAGAUCUAGGAGACUUGGACCCUACGUCAAGCAACCAACAGGGAGGCCACGUGGUAGGGGGGCACGCCUACCCCCCAGGCGCGCCCUCCACCCUCGUGGGGCCCCUGUUGCUCCAUCGACAUACUUCUUCCUCCUAUAUAUACCUACGUACCCCCAAACGAUCAGAGACGGAGCCAAAACCCUAAUUCCACCGUCAUAACUUUUUGUAUCCACGAGAUCCCAUCUUGGGGCCUGUUCCGGAGCUCCACCGGAGGAGGCAUCGAUCACGGAGGGCUUCUACAUCAACACCAUAGCCCUUCCGAUGAGUGUGAGUAGUUUACCUUAGACCUACGGGUCCAUAGUUAUUAGCUAGAUGGCUUCUUCUCUCUUUUUGGAUCUCAAUACAAAGUUCUCCCCCUCUCUUGUGGAGAUCUAUUCGAUGUAAUCUUCUUUUGCGGUGUGUUUGUUGAGACCGAUGAAUUGUGGGUUUAUGAUUAAGUUUAUCUAUGAACAAUAUUUGAAUCUUCUCUGAAUUAUUUUAUGUAUGAUUGGUUAUCUUUGCAAGUCUCUUCGAAUUAUCAGUUUGGUUUGGCCUACAAGAUUGAUCUUUCUUGCAAUGGGAGAAGUGCUUAGCUUUGGGUUCAAUCUUGCGGUGUCCUUUCCCAGUGAUAGUAGGGGCAGCAAGGCACGUAUUGUAUUGUUGCCAUCAAGGAUAACAAGAUGGGGUUUUCAUCAUAUUGCAUGAGUUUAUCCCUCUACAUCAUGUCAUCUUGCUUAAGGCGUUACUCUGUUCUUAUGAACUUAAUACUCUAGAUGCAUGCUGGAUAGCGGUCGAUGUGUGGAGUAAUAGUAGUAGAUGCAGGCAGGAGUCGGUCUACUUGUCUCGGACGUGAUGCCUAUAUACAUGAUCAUACCUAGACAUUCUCAUAACUAUGCUCAAUUCUGUCAAUUGCUCAACAGUAAUUUGUUCACCCACCGUAAAAUACUUAUGCUCUUGAGAGAAGCCACUAGUGAAACCUAUGGCCACCGGGUCUAUCUUCAUCAUAUUAAUCUUCCUAUACCUAGUUAUUUCCUUUGCUUUUAUUUUACUUUGCAUCUUUAUCAUAAAAUACCAAAAAUAUUAUCUUAUCAUAUCUAUCAGAUCUCACUCUCGUAAGUGACCGUGUAGGGAUUGACAACCCCUUAUCGCGUUGGUUGCGAGGAUUUAUUUGUUUUGUGUAGGUGCGAGGGACUCACGCGUAGCCUCCUACUGGAUUGAUACCUUGGUUCUCAAAAACUGAGGGAAAUACUUACGCUACUUUGCUGCAUCACCCUUUCCUCUUCAAGGGAAAACCAACGCAGUGCUCAAGAGGUAGCAAGAAGGAUUUCUGGCGCCGUUGCCGGAGAGGUUCGCGCAAGUAAAGAAUUGACUCCCGACAACGAGCCAUUUCUGGCGCCGUUGCCAGGGAGGUCUACGCAAAAGUCAACAUACCAAGUACCCAUCACAAACCUUAUCUCCCGCAUUACAUUAUUUGCCAUUUGCCUGUCGUUUUCCUCUCCCCCACUUCACCCUUACUGUUUUAUUCGCCCUCUCUCUCUAUCCUCCCUCUCUUUCUCUAUUUGCCUCUUUUUGCCUUUUGCACUUUCUGCCGUUAUGUCUGAAAUUGGGGAAAUUAUUGUCGAUAUGGACAAUAAUAAUAUCAUGAAAAAUUCCGAUGCUCCUGCUGAAGAACCCCCUAAUAUUGAGCAUUCUUCUGUUAAGCAUGCCGCUACUAUCUUCUUGGCUCAUGAGUUUAGAUUCAUAAUAAAAGAGGCCAAAGAAAUCUUUGCGCAUUAUAGGGUGGACGCUUGCCGUCCUCCCAUAGAGGCUAUCCUUUUUGAUCAAGAAGAAAUAAUGCGUUUUCAAUCUCUAGACUAUGUUGCUUUCAAUGAAAAUCUUAGAAAAAGGGUUCCUACCAAUGUUCUAGUUGAUAGAAUUUCUGAACUUAAUGAUGAUUUGGCUAUUCAAAAUAAUGAACUAGGAUUUUCUCUUGAAUAUAGGUGUGGGAGUCCUGGAUUAGGGGGUCUCCGGAUAGUCGGACUAUCUCCAUUGGCCGGACUGUUAAACUAUGAAGAUACAAGAUUUAAGACUUCGUCUCGUGUCCAGAUGGAACUCUACUUGGCGUGGAAGGCAAGCUAGGAGAUACGUAUAUGGAUAUCUCCUCCUUUGUAACCGACCUUGUGUAACCCUAACCCUCUCCGGUGUCUAUAUAAACCGAAGGGUUUUAGUCAGUAGGACAACAAUCGCAACAUACAAUCAUACCAUAGGCUAGCUUCUAGGGUUUAGCCUCUCUGAUCUCAUGGUAGAUCCACUCUUGUAACGCCCAUAUAAUCAAUAUUAAUCAAGCAUGACGUAGGGUUUUACCUCCAUCAAGAGGGCCCGAACCUGGGUAAAACAUCGUGUCCCCUGCCUCCUGUUACCAUCCGGCCUAGACGCACAGUUCGGGACCCCCUACCUGAGAUCCGCCGGUUUUGACACCGACAUUGGUGCUUUCAUUGAGAGUUCCUCUAUGUUGUCGUCGUUAGGCUUGAUGGCUCCUACUAUCAUCGAUAGCGAGGGUGAGACUUUUCUCCCCGGACAGAUCUUCGUAUUCGGCGGCUUUGCACUGCGGGCUAAUUCGCUUGGCCAUCUGGAGCAGAUUGAAAGCUAUGCCUCUAGCCAUCAGGUCAGAUUUGGAAGUUUGAAUUACACGGCCAACAUUCGUGGGGACUUGAUCUUCGACGGAUUCGAGCCACAGCCGGGUGCGCCGCACUAUCGCGAUGGGUAUGACCUAGCUCUGCCACCGGACGGUACUCUAGAGGCCGCGCCCACAUGAGCUUCGACCCUUAGCUCGGAGCCAACUGCGCUAAUUGAGGACAUGUGGCUAGACACCGCCUCAGGGGCUGCAGUCUCGACAGCGAUCGAGCCAAACACUAGCAUAAUCCUCUGCGCAGCCCAUGACUCCAAGGUGUCGGACUCUCUUCCGGACCCCGAACCAUCCGCGCCCCUGCCAAUCGAAUCCGAUUGGGCACCGAUCAUGGAAUUCACCGCCGCGGAUAUCUUUCAGCACUCGCCCUUCGGCGACAUUCUGAAUUCACUAAGGUCUCUCUCUUUGUCAGGAGAGCCCUAGCCGGAUUAUGGCCAACAUGAUUGGGAUGCAGACGACGAAGAAAUUCGACGCCCACCCACCACCCACUUUGUAGCCAGUGUCGAUGAUUUAACCGACAUGCUCGACUUCGACUCCGACGACAUCAACGGUAUGGACGACGAUGUAGGAUACGAACAUGAACCAACACCUAUAGGGCACUGGACAGCCACCUCGUCGUAUGACAUAUACAUGGUGGAUACACCCAAUGAAGGCAAUGUCGACGAGAUAGCGGAGGAUGACCCCUCCAAGAAGCAACCCAAGCGCCGACGUCAGCGGCGCCGCUCUAAGUCCCGCCAAAGAAAAAGUGGUGAUACCGGCACAGGAGAUAAUAACACUCCGCAUAGCGCCGAAGACAACAACAAUCCCCUCCAGCAAGGUUUAGAGCAGGAGGAUGAAAGAGCCAGCUCUCCUGAGAGAGCGGCUGGUGGAGAGGAGGAGGAUGACAAUCACAUGCCCCCUUCGAAGAUGAGGCAAGCCUCGGCGAUGAUGAAUUCACCGUACCAGAGGAUCCCGUCGAACAAGAGUGCUUCAAACGCAGGCUUAUGGCCACGGCAAACAGCCUGAAGAGAAAGCACUAGCAGCUUCAAGAUGAUCAAGAUCUGCUAGCUGACAAAUGGACUGAAGUCCUCGCGGCCGAGGAAUAUAAACUCGAGCGUCCCUCCAAGAGUUAUCCAAGGCGCAGGUUACUACCCCGACUGGAGGAAGAAGCGUAUGAAACGGCUGAUCGGCCACCUUGUGGCCGUGAUAGAGAGGCAUUCCAGCCAAAAGCUCAGCCUCCACCCCAACGCCAUCCAAAUAAAAAGGCAUGGGGAGAUACACCAGACCUGCGAGACAUAUUGGAGGACAAAACAAAGCAUUCAAGAUCGAUCUACGGAUCAUGAGGGCGCACCACUCUAUGAGACAAUAAACGUCACAUCGGAUACAGUAAAAGAAAAUCCGGCCGGGCCGAACACAGCGGGCAGGACCCAUUCGAGCUACGUCGCGAUAUAGCCCAAUACAGAGGCGCCGCACACCCCUUAUGCUUCACAGACGAAGUAAUGGAACAUCAAUUCCCGGAAGGUUUCAAACCUGUAAACAUUGAAUCAUACGACGGCACUACAGACCCCGCAGUAUGGAUUGAGGACUUCCUCCUCCACAUCCACAUGGCCCGCGGUGAUGACUUACAUGCCAUCAAGUACCUCCCACUAAAACUCAAAGGACCAGCGCGGCAUUGGCUUAAUAGCUUGCCAAUGGACUCCAUUAGCUGUUGGGAAGAUCUGGAAGCCGCAUUCCUCGACAACUUUUAGGGCACUUAUGUGCGACCACCAGACGCCGAUGACUUGAGCCACAUAAUUCAGCAGCCAGAAGAGUCGGCCAGGCAAUUCUGGACUCGGUUCCUUACAAAGAAAAAUCAAAUUGUUGACUGUCCGGAUGCGGAGGCCUUAGCGGCUUUCAAGCACAACAUCCGAGACGAGUGGCUAGCCCGGCACCUUGGUCAGGAAAAGCCGAAAUCUAUGGCAGCCCUCACGACGCUCAUGACCCACUUUUGUGCGGGAGAAGACAGCUGGUUGGCUUGCAGUAAUAACAUAUCAAAGAACCGUGGUACCUCAGAUACCAAGGACGACAAUAGCAGGUCACGUCGCAACAAGCAUAAGCGCCGCAUUAACGGCGAAAGUACUGAGGAUACGACAGUCAAUGCCGGAUUCAAAGGCUCUAAACCCGGUCAGCGGAAAAAGCCAUUCAAACAAAGUACGCCGGGUCCGUCCAGCUUGGACCGUAUACUCGAUCGCUCGUGUCAAAUACACGGCACCCCAGACAAUCCAGCCAAUCACACCAACAGGGAUUGUUGGGUGUUCAAGCAGGACGGCAAGUUAAUUGCCGAAAACAAGGACAAGGGGCCGCAUAGCGAUGACGAGGAAGAACCCCGGCAGCCACACACUAGAGGACAGAAGAGGUUUCCCCUACAAGUGCGAAUGGUGAACAUGAUAUACGCAACCCACAUCCCCAAGAGAGAGCGGAAGCGUGCGCUCAGGGACGUAUAUGCGUUGGAGCCAGUCGCCCCAAAGUUCAACCCUUGGUCCUCCUGUCCGAUCACCUUCGAUCGCAGGGACCACCCCACUAGUAUCCGUCAUGGCGGAUUCGCCGCACUGGUCCUAGACCCAAUCAUCGAUGGAUUUCACCUCACUCGAGUCCUUAUGGACGGCGGCAGCAGCCUGAACCUGCUUUAUCAGGACACAGUGUGCAAAAUGGGUAUAGACCCCUCAAGGAUCAAACCCAUAAAAACGACCUUUAAGGGCGUCAUUCCAGGCGUAGAGGCCCACUGCACAGGCUCAAUUACAUUGGAAGUGGUCUUCGGAUCCCCGGAUAACUUCCGAAGCGAAGAGUUAAUCUUCGAUAUAGUCCCGUUCUGCAGUGGUUAUCACACGCUGCUCGGACGAACCGCAUUUGCUAGAUUCAAUGCGGUACCACAUUAUGCAUACCAAGAUGCCAGGACCUCACGGAGUUAUUACAGUCAAUGGAAACACAUAGCGCUCUCUCCGAACAGAGGAGCACACCGCGACCCUUGCAGCAGAAGCGCAAAGCAGCCUCCCAAGGCAAUCUACCAGUUCGGCGUUUCAAAGCCCGGACACCUUCAAGCACACUCGAGGCAAUUGGCAAACAGACCGCCUGGCGCGAUCUGAGCUCGCGUAGCAAUACGACGGCCACCCCAAUCCCAGCCCAACGAUGUUAUUCGUGUCACGCGUACAUAAUUACGCAUUAAAAAUACCAUGGGCACAGGUGGGAAGGGGGGGGGGCACAACUGCGGCACGCCCCAAAACGCAGCCUAAACCACACUAGGGGCUUCUCGUUUGGUUAUUUUUCUUUUUCUUUCAGGACUUUAAUCUCUGGAAACACUAUCCGACAGCUCUAUUGCCAAACACAUGAUAGAGCAACCAAGGAGGCAGACAACUACGAAAUUCCCAGGUUGAUUACAGAUUUCAUAUCAUUCCUCAGCUCGCCCUUGGAAGGGACACAAUCCUACUUUUUUGCUUAUUGCACUAUCUGUAUCACUCUGCUUCAAUGCAAAUUUUUAAUAUACAAUGCAUGACAUUACGACUAUUAUUGCAUUUUCGUUAUAUAUAUAUACCUCUGUGUUCAUUAAUGACGCCUUGCAACCGUACACUCUGGUACGACCAAUGCACCAGGGGCUUACGUACCCACAAUAUGGUGUGAAAAGUCCGAACACUUUCACAAGUGCGGCACCCUGAACUUAUAGCAUUAUAUGCAUCAGCUCCGAAUCAUGUCUUUGGUCAAAUGUUGGGUUUGCCCGGAUCCUAUGUUUUGGUACCUUACGUUCCGCUCUAUCGGCUAAGGUAGCGCUAGGAGAACUACUGCGAUUGUGCCCCGGUUCUACCGGGCUGAGCACCUCAGUAGAGAAAGAUAAAACUGACUGUCAUGAUAAGGCGAGAGACUGGUCGCUAUUCGGCGAGGUUUUUCGAGUCCCUAAAGACUUAUGCCGCUUAGGGCGAGGGGCCGGCUCCGUCCGGCUUACAGGCGUGUAUCAUGCCCCGAAUUCGGCCUUCUGAAUACCAGGGGCUUCGCCGAAAUUUAAAAUUAUAGAAUUCUAUGGCUAAGUGAGAGUGAUAAAGCAUUAUUAGUCUGGUUGCCUUGUUCGUUGUGCUGAGCACCUCCCUCGAAGGACCCAAACAUGGGAACAAGAGUGCUCAGGUUUAUCCCGAACACCCCAGCACUCGUGGCAUGGGGGCAGAAGCCGAGGACUAGCCAUCUCUCAGAUUGGAUAAACAGCCAAACAGAAGGAAAUAUUUUAAAUUCACACAAGUGUUGCACAGCGAAUAUGAUACAACUUUUCAUACAUACAGGACAAAACGAGCAAGUCUCAUUCAAAUAUUACAUUUUGUGAACACUCAUCCGCGAUAAGACGGGCGCCCGGCAGAACACCCUCGUAGUACAUCUCGGGGUGGCGGUGCUCCUUGCCCUCCGGCGGCCCCUCCUUGAUCAGCUUCACGGCGUCUAGCUUGACCCACUGCGUUUUUACACGGGCGAAAGCCCGACAUGCACCUUCAAUGCAGACGAAUCGCUUGACAACCUCCAGCCGUGGGCAGGCAUCUACAAGCCACCUCACCAGGCCGAAGAAGCUGUUCGGAAGGGCGUCGCCAGGCCACAACCGGACUAUGAAGCCCUUCAUGGCCUGAUCGGCCGCCUUAUGUAGCUCGACCAUCUGCUUCAGUUGGUCGCUCAUCGGCACCGGAUGUUCAGCCUCAGCAUACUAAGACCAGAACAGCUUCUCUAUCGAGCUCCCGUCCUCGGCCUGGUAAAAUUGUGCGGCAUCGGACACACCGCGGGGCAAAUCUGUGAAUGCUCCUGAAGAGCUCCGGAUCCGGGUAAGUAAUCGAUAAUUUACUUUUACAUGCUUGCUUUGCAUAUAGAAAGCCUUACCCGCCGCUAUCCUCUUCAUCGCGUCGAUCUCCUGAAGGGCCUUCUGGGCCUCGGCCUUGGCACUCUUCACGCUCUCACGGGCCGCGGCAAGCUCAGACUCUCGGUCUUCAAGUCAAGCUCCAACGCCUCGUGCUUCAUCACGAGAGCCUGGAGCUCUUGCUGCACCUCGCCCACCCGAGCAUCGUGCCUCUCCCACUCGGUGCGCUCCUGGGCCGCCUUCUCUUCGGCCUGGGACAACGCUUGCUUCAGGGUCGCCACCUCGGUCGUGGCCCCUGGCAAACAUACAAUGAUCCUGUCAUUUAGCAAUCGCAUCCUUUUUCUCAUCUAUAGACGGGGUAUUACUUACCCUUGUUCUCCUCGAGCUGCCUCUUAGCAAGGCUGAGCUCUUUCCAGGACCCCUCGAGGGCCUCCUUCAGUACGGCGACCUCCGCAGUUAGUGCGGCGGACGCCAGCAGCGAAGCCUGCAUAUGCAUAUUGACAUACUUAUAUUAGACUCCUGCGGUAUUAUUUGAUCCUCUGUUCUGCUUUUCUUUGUGAACACCGAACAAAGCAUCAGGGGCUACUGUCUAUGCGGUAAUAUUUCUACUACAUUUUAAACAUACUUACCUCGAAGCCUGUUAGAAGGCUAGUACAGGCUUCAGUCAAUCUGCUCUUGGCGGACUGAACCUUCUGGAUCACCGCACUCAUGAUAGUGCGGUGCUCCUCCUCGAUGGAAGCGCUGCGAACCGCUUCCAACAUAUUGUCCGGCGCCUCUAGAUGGACAGAGGUCACCGGCACAGGCGUCUCACCCCUCUUAGAAGGAGACAGCCUGCCCGAGCCCGGAACCGCUGGAGGUUCCGGCGCGGUGUUCGGCUGAGGGCCGAACUCGAAGCUCUCAGGGGCCCCGUCCCCUCUGCUCCCGGAGUCCGGAAGGUCGCCUUGAGGUGCCUCCAGGACUGUCUCCCCUCGAUCCGGUGCCUCUUGAGACAACACCUCGGCGUCCUCGGCAGGAUGAGGGGAGGUGGCAGUCGGGACUGGAUCGCUAUCCAUGUCCGACGAACCCAGGGAGCCGUCUAAUGAUACCUCGAUAUUGGCUCAUGGCGGCUUGCGUAAUUAUGUUCGGCGAUUAGGGAAAGCAAUGCGACAAAGGAAUCCUAUGGGUUACUUUGGUAUCCGAAUACUUACAAUCUCCCCUAGGGCUUGGCCCUGGGCAACCACUCGUCUUCACUUUCGUCGGCGGCGGUGGAGCUGUCCGAAAGGAGAGUCCUUCCCUUCUUGGACCCUCUGGCCUCCCCAGUUGGGGCGGCCUUCCUUUUCUUGUCUCCCCUAGUUGGUGGGGGAGCCUCUUCUUCCUCUUCCUCAUCUUUGGGGGAAGAGUGCGCCGCAGAGUCGUCGGAUGGUGAGUCUAACGACGCCUGGCAUCGGGAACUCUUUCGAGCUCCCUUGGCCUUCUUGGUCUUCUCCGGCACCUUAUAAGGGGCCGAAGUCAGCAUCUUCGUCAGAAGAGUGUCUGCGGGGCCUUCGGGCAAGGGAGUCGGACAGUCGAUCUGUCCGGCCAUCUUCUGCCAGUCCUGUCAAAAUUACGGGAGUUUAGAUCCCGCAUAGAGUCAAUCUAUAUAAAAAUAAGUAUCCUGUGAAAGGUAAAACAACUUACCGCGCUGGCUUGGCGCUUUGCGCUGAAUCCGUGAUCCUCAGUAAUGGGGGGAGGGACCUCGGCACUCUUGAACAGCAACCUCCAGGCAUCUUCAUGAGUUGUGUCGAAGAGCCUGUUCAGAGUUUGGUGCUGCGCCGGAUUGAACUCCCACAAAGUGAACUCCCGUUGUUGGCACGGGAGUAUCCGGCGGAUGAGCAUAACCUGGACUAUGUUGACAAGCUUGAGCUUCUUGUCCACCAUGUUUUGAAUACAUGACUGGAGUCCGGUCAGCUCUUUUGAAUUACCCCAGGAUAGGCCCUUCUCCUUCCAGGAGGUGAGCCGCAUGGGGGUGCCAGAUCGGAACUCGGGGGCCGCUACCAUGCGGGGUCACGCGGCUCGGUGAUGUAGAACCACCCCGAUUGCCACCCCUUUAUGGUUUCCACAAAGGAGCCCUCGAGCCAUGUUAUGUUGGGCAUCUUGCCCACCAUGGCGCCUUCACACUCUGCUUGGCGGAUGCCCACCACCUUCGGCUUGACGUUGAAGGUCUUCAGCCAUAGGCCGAAGUCGGGCUUGAUGUGGAGAAAGGCCUCGCACACGACGAUAAACGCCGAGAUGUUGAGGAUGAAGUUCGGGGCCAGAUCAUGGAAAUCCAGGCCAUAAUAGAACAUGAGCCCCUGGACGAAGGUAUGGAGAGGGAAUCCCAGUCCGCAGAAGAAAUGGGUGAGGAAUAUGUCCCUCUCAUGGGGCCUGGGGGUGGGGAUGAGUUGCCCCUCAUCUGGGAGCCGGUGUGCGAUGUCGUCGGGCAGGUAUCCGGAUCUCCUCAGUUUCUUGACGUCUCCCUCCGUGACGGAGGAGACCAUCCACUUGCCUCCCGCUUCGGACAUGGUUGGAUAAGGUUGAGAUGGAAGUGAGGACUUGGGCGCUAGAGCUCGAGUGUUCGGGAGCGGAUGAGCAGAUGAGGAAGAAGGCGUGGAUAGAAAGGUGAAUCCUUACCCCUUUAUAUGGGCGGACAAAACUAAGCGUCCCCACUUGCCUGGUAAAACUCGCUUAUCCCCCAAGCGCUGUAAUUGAUGGCGCGGUUGGGUUACCCACGCCCGUAUUGAUGAGAAUCCCGUAAUAAGGGGACACGAUCUCUGCUUUGACAAGACGUGUCGAAGAACUACCUCGCGUUAUGUGCGGGGCUGGUUAAAAGAAACGGUUCGAAUACUCACCGGGCCAUGACGUAAUGUCAUGUGGCCAAAACAAGCUAGCGGAUUAGAUCUGCGAAAACAUUAUUCUCUCUAUGGUGGAAUGUGGAACUUAUUUUGCAGGGUCGGACACUAUCCUCGUAUUCAAAUUCUUCUGUGAUGUAUUCCGAGAAGGAACCCGCCUUGCAAUGCCGAAGACAACUGCGCGCCAGACUCGUCGUCAUUGAAGCCUGGUUUAGGGGAUACUAUGGGAGUCCUGGAUUAGGGGGUCUCCAAAUAGCCGGACUAUAUCCAUUGGCCGGACUAUUAGACUAUGAAGAUACAAGAUUGAAGACUUCGUCUCGUGUCCGGAUGGGACUCUACUUGGCGUGGAAGGCAAGCUAGGCGAUACGUAUACGGAUAUCUCCUCCUUUGUAACCGACCUUGUGUAACCCUAACCCUCUCCGGUGUCUAUAUAAACCAAAGGGUUUUAGUCCGUAGGAUAACAAUCACAACAUACAAUCAUACCAUAGGCUAGCUUCUAGGGUUUAGCCUCUCUGAUCUCUUGGUAGAUCUACUCUUGUAACACCCAUAUCAUCAAUAUUAAUCAAGCAGGACGUAGGGUUUUACCUCCAUCAAGAGGGCCCGAACCUGGGUAAAACAUCGUGUCCCCUGACUCCUGUUACCAUACGGCCUAGACGCAUAGUUCGGGACCCCCUACCCGAGAUCUGCCGGUUUUGACACUGACAAUAGGCUCACAAAGUUCUGUCAAAAGAAUGCUUACAAUGAUGAAUUGGUUGUGCAAUACGAAGGGCCAAGAGAGGAACCUAUACCUCCCAAAGUUGACCUUGGGGACUUUUGUCCCAUUAAAUUUAGCCCUUUUGAUCACUUUUGCUUGCCUCAAAGAAAACUUGCUGCCGAACGUAGAGAAUAUGAAAUGAGCUUUAAUGAUCUAUCUUACUAUUAUGGCAAUACCUAGAUCUAUCCUUGCUUUUAUGCCUAGCUAGGGGCGUUAAACGAUAGCGCUUGUUGGGAGGCAACCCAAUUUUAUUUUUAUUCCUUGCUUUUUGCUCCUGUUUAGUAAUAAAUAAUUUAUCUAGCCUAUUUUUUGGUUGUGUUUUUUGUGUUUAAUUAGUGUUUGUGCCAAGUAGAACCGUUGUGAAGACUUGGGGAAAGUCUUGUUAGUCUUGCUGUAAAAAACAGAAACUUUAGCGCUCACGAGAACUGCUGCCAUUUUUAUUUGGAAAGUACUAUUUAGUUAAUUCUUUUUGAAGAUGAUUAAUAGAUAAAUUCCUCACUUCCAUCAAUUUAUUUUAGAAUUUUUGGGGUUCCAGAUCUUGCGCUAGCUACAUAUUACUACAGACUGUUCUGUUUUUGACAGAUUCUGUUUUUCGUGUGUUGUUUGCUUAUUUUGAUGAAUCUAUGGCUAGUAUAAUAGUUUAUAAACCAUAGAUAAGUUGGAAUACAGUAGGUUUAACACCAAUAUAAAUAAAGAAUGAGUUCAUUACAGUACCUUGAAGUGGCCUUUUGCUUUCUUUCGCUAACGGAGCUCACGGGAUUUUCUACUUUAAGUUUUGUGUUGUGAAGUUUUCAAGCAUCGGGUAAGGAUUUGAUGGAUUAUGGAACAAGGAGUGGCAAGAGCCUAAGCUUGGGGAUGCCCAUGGCACUGAUACAUCUCCAACGUAUCUAUAAUUUUUGAUUGCUUCAUGCUAUAUUAUCUACUGUUUUGGACAUUAUUGGGCUUUAUUAUCCACUUUUAUAUUAUUUUUGGGACUAACCUAUUAACCAGAGGCCCAGCCCAGAAUUGUUGUUUUUUGCCUGUUUUAGGGUUUCUAAGAAAAGGAAUAUCAAACGGAGUCCAAACGGAAUGAAACCUUCGGGAACGUGAUUUUCUCAACGAACAAGGCCUGGGAGACUUGGACCCUACGUCAAGAAAGAAAAGAGGAGGCCACGAGGUAGGGGGGCGCACCUACCCCCCCUCCCAAGCGCACCCUCCACCCUCGUGGGCCCCCUGUUGCUCCACCGACGUACUCCUUUCUCGUAUAUAUACCUAUGUACCCCCAAACUUUCUGUAUCCACGAGAUCCCAUCUUGGGGCCUGUUCCGGAGCUCCGCCGGAGGGGGCAUCGAUCACGGAGGGCUUCUACAUCAACACCAUAGCCCCUCCGAUGAAGUGUGAGUAGUUUACCUCAGUCCUACGGGUCCAUAGUUAUUAGCUAGAUGGCUUCUUCUCUCUUUUUGGAUCUCAAUACAAUGUUCUCCCCUCUCUUGUGGAGAUCUAUUCAAUUUAAUCUUCUUUUUGCGGUGUGUUUGUUGAGAUCGAUGAAUUGUGGGUUUAUGAUCAAGUCUAUCUAUGAAUAAUAUUUGAAUAUUCUCUGAAUUCUUUUAUGUAUGAUUGGUUAUUUUGCAAGUCUCUUCGAAUUAUCAGUUUGGUUUGGCCUACUAGAUUGAUCUUUCUUGCAAUGGGAGAAGUGCUUAGCUUUGGGUUCAAUCUUGCGGUGUCCUUUCCCAGUGACAGUAGGGGCAGCAAGGCACGUAUUGUAUUGUUGCCAUUAAGGAUAACAAGAUGGGGUUUUCUUCAUAUUGCAUGAGUCUAUCCCUCUACAUCAUGUCAUCUUGCUUAAGGCGUUACUCUGUUUUUAACUUAAUACUCUAGAUGCAUGCUGGAUAGCGGUCGAUGAGUGGAGUAAUAGUAGUAGAUGCAGGCAGGAGUCGGUCUACUUGUCUCAGACGUGAUGCCUAUAUACAUGAUCAUACCUAGAUAUUCUCACAACUAUGCUCAAUUCUGUCAAUUGCUCAACAGUAAUUUGUUCACCCACCGUAGAAUACUUAUGCUCUCAAGAGAAGCCACUAGUGAAACCUAUGGUGCCCGGGUCUAUCUUUAUCAUAUUAAUCUCCUACUACUUAGUUAUUUCCUUUGCUAUUUCCUUUGCCUUUAUUUUACUUUGCAUCUUUAUGAUAAAAAUACCAAAAAUAUUAUCUUAUCAUAUCUAUCAGAUCUCACUCUCGUAAGUGGCCUUAUAGGGAUUGACAACCCCUAUUUGCAUUGGUUGUGAGGAUUUAUUUGUGUUGUGCAGGUACGAGGGACUCGCGCGUAGCCUCCUAUUGGAUUGAUACCUUGGUUCUCAAAAACUGAGGGAAAUACUUAUGCUACUUUGCUGCAUCAUCCCUUCCUCUUCGGGGAAAACCAACGCAGUGCUCAAGAGGUAGCAAGAAGGAUUUCUGGCGCCGUUGCCGGGGAGGUCUACGCAAAAGUCAACAUACCAAGUACCCAUCACAUACCCUUAUCUCCCGCAUUGCAUUAUUUGCCAUUUGCCUCUCGUUUUCCUCUCCCCCACUUCACCCUUGCCAUUUUAUUUGCCCUCUCUCUCUCUAUCCUCCCUCUCUUUCUCUAUUUUCCUCUUUUUGCCCGCUUGCUUUUUGUUUGCUUGUGUGUUAGUUUGCUUGCUUGUCAUGAUGGCUCAAGAUAAUACUAAAUUGUGUGACUUCACCAAUACCAACAACAAUGAUUUUAUUAGCACUCUGAUUGCUCCUCUUACCAAUGCUGAAUCUUGUGAAAUUAAUACUGCUUUGCUGAAUCUUGUCAUGAAAGAUCCGUUUUCCGGCCUUCCUAGUGAAGAUGCCGCUACCCAUCUAAAUAGCUUCAUUGGUUUGUGUGACAUGCAAAAGAAUAAAGAUGUGGAUAAUGAUAUUGUUAAAUUGAAGCUAUUUCCUUUUUCGCUUGAGAUCGUGCUAAAGCUUGGUUUUCGUCUUUGCCUAAAAAUAGUAUUGAUUCAUGGAAUAAGUGCAAAGAUGCUUUUAUCUCUAAGUAUUUUCCUCCCUCUAAGAUCAUCUCUCUUAGAAAUGAUAUUACGAACUUUAAGCAACUUGACCAUGAACAUGUUGCACAAGCUUGGGAGAGAAUGAAAUUAAUGAUACGUAAUUGCCCUACUCAUGGUUUAAAUUUGUGGAUGAUUAUACAAAAUUUUUAUGCCGGAUUGAAUUUUGCUUCUAGAAAUCUUUUAGAUUCGGCCGCGGGAGGCACUUUUAUGGAAAUCACUUUAGGAGAAGCUAAUAAACUCCUAGAUAAUAUUAUGGUUAAUUAUUCUCAAUGGCAUACUGAAAGAUCUACUAAUAAAAAUGUGCAUGCGAUAGAAGAAAUUAAUGUUUUGAGUGGAAAGAUGGAUGAACUUAUGAAAUUAUUUGCUAAUAAGAGUGUUUCUUCUGAUCCUAAUGAUAUGCCCUUGUCUACUUUGAUUGAGAAUAAUAAUGAAUCUAUGGAUGUGAAUUUUGUUGGUAGGAACAAUUUUGGUAACAACGCGUAUAGAGGAAAUUUCAACCCUAGGCCUUAUCCUAGUAAUCCCUCUAAUAAUUAUGGUAAUUCCUACAACAAUUCUUAUGGAAAUUAUAAUAAGAUGCCCUCUGAUUUUGAAUCUAAUAUUAAAGAAUUUAUUACCUCGCAAAAGAAUUUUAAUGCUAUGAUUGAAGAAAAAUUGCUUAAGAUUGAUGAUUUGGCUAGGAACAUUGAUAGAAUUUCUCUUGAUGUUGAUUCUUUGAAACUUAGAUCUAUUCCACCUAAGCAUGAUAUCAAUGAGUCUCUCAAAGCCAUGAGAAUUUCCAUUGAUGAGUGCAAAGAAAGAACCGCUAGGAUGCAUGCUGAGAAAGAUGCCUUUAUAAGAGCAUGUUCUUCUAGUUCCUAUGAAAAUAAAGAUGAAGAUCUAAAAGUUAUUGAUGUGUCCCCUAUUAAAUCUUUGUUUUGCAAUAUGAAUCUUGAUAAUGAUGGGACUGAAUAUGAUCCACCUUUACCUAGAAGGCGUUCCAAGAAUUCGGAAUUUGUUGAUCUUGAUGCUAAAUUUGAUUAAAGUGGGAUUGAAGAAAUUAAAACCCUAGAUGUUGCUAAACCCACUAUUUUGGAUUUCAAGGAAUUUAAUUAUGAAAAUUGCUCUUUGAUUGAUUGUAUUUCCUUGUUGCAAUCCGUGCUAAAUUCUCCUGAUGCUUAUAGUCAAAAUAAAGCGUUUACUAAACAUAUUGUUGAUGCCUUGAUGCAAUCUUAUGAAGAAAAACUUGAACUGGAAGUUUCUAUCCCUAGAAAACUUUAUGAUGAGUGGGAACCAACUAUUAAAAUUAAAAUUAAAGAUCAUGAAUGCUAUGCUUAUGUGAUUUUGGUGCUAGUGUUUCCACGAUUCCAAAGACUUUGUGUGAUUUGUUAGGUUUCCGUGAUUUUGAUGAUUGCUCCCUAAACUUGCACCUUGCAGAUUCCACUAUUAAAAAACCUAUGGGAAGAAUUAAUGAUGUUCUUAUUGUUGCAAAUAGGAAUUAUGUGCCCGUAGAUUUUAUUGUUCUUGACAUAGAUUGCAAUCCUUCAUGUCCUAUUAUUCUUGGUAGACCUUUCCUUAGAACGAUUGGUGCAAUUAUUGAUAUGAAGGAAGGAAAUAUUAGAUUCCAAUUUCCAUUAAGGAAAGGCAUGGAACACUUUCCUAGAAAGAAAAUUAAAUUACCUUAUGAAUCUAUUAUGAGAGCCACUUAUGGAUUGCCUACCAAAGAUGGCAAUACCUAGAUCUAUUCUUGCUUGUUAUGCCUGGCUAGCACUACAAAAAAAAGACACAUCCGUGACAUUUUGGGCCGAACGAAAUUUUUUUCUGUCAUACAUAUGGCACUUCUAUGACGAUAAUUGUGACAAAACCCGGUAUCAUCAUCGAUGUGGUGGGCUCCUACUUCUAUGACAAAAAAUCAUGACAGAAAAUGGGCUUUUCGUCCUGGGCGGGCCGGAGAUGUAGCUGCAUGACAUUCUUUGGGCCGUCCAUGAUGGAAAAAACCGUGGUAGAAGCGAGGGGGAGGAAAAUUUCUGGGAGUUCCUGGUUACGGUGGGAGGUCGGGGGCCGAGCGAUGCGCGUUUCUCUCGUACAUGUACGCGCGUGUGUGCGAGGCGUUGGCUCUAACUGAACCCGAGCGAGGCAUUGGGCUCUAACUGAACCCGAGCGAUUGCACUGCAGGCUACGCGUUACUGAACCCGAGUGAUCGAUCGAUGGCUGUUAACUGAACCCGAUCGAGUGAUUCCUUCGCUACUGUUGCUAACUGAAGCCGAUGGAUGCUUCCUCUGAUGAACAGUGAGNNNNNNNNNNNNNNNNNNNNNNNNNNNNNNNNNNNNNNNNNNNNNNNNNNNNNNNNNNNNNNNNNNNNNNNNNNNNNNNNNNNNNNNNNNNNNNNNNNNNNNNNNNNNNNNNNNNNNNNNNNNNNNNNNNNNNNNNNNNNNNNNNNNNNNNNNNNNNNNNNNNNNNNNNNNNNNNNNNNNNNNNNNNNNNNNNNNNNNNNNNNNNNNNNNNNNNNNNNNNNNNNNNNNNNNNNNNNNNNNNNNNNNNNNNNNNNNNNNNNNNNNNNNNNNNNNNNNNNNNNNNNNNNNNNNNNNNNNNNNNNNNNNNNNNNNNNNNNNNNNNNNNNNNNNNNNNNNNNNNNNNNNNNNNNNNNNNNNNNNNNNNGGUGGGGGUGGAUGAAUAGGACCCUGUGGUGUUGCCUCUGGAUGAACAGGACCCCGAUCGAUCGAGCCGGUUGGGGCUGGAUGAACAGGACCCCGUGGAGGGCUGGAUGAACAGGACCACCCCGUGGAGGGCAGGAUGAAUAGUAGACGGUGGAGGGCAGGAUGAACAGUAGCCCGUGGAGAGGGCUGGUUGAAUAGUAGCUGGUGGAGUAGCGCGCGGUGGAGGCUGGAUGAAGAGGAGCCCGUGGAUGAACAGUCACAGGUGGAGGCUGGAGGAGGUCGACGGUGGAUGAACAGUAGCUCGUGGAGGCUAGAGGGGGUCGACGGUGGAGAUGAACAGUAUCCUGUGGAGUCCCGUUUUGCGGUACGCCACACCCCUCCCGAUGAACAGGACCCCCGUUUCGACCUAGCGCUCCAACACAAGUCCGUCUCGUCCGUUUUGCGGUACGCCACACCCCUCCCGAUCAACAGGACCCCCGUUUCGACCGUAGGAGGUCCGUUUCCUCCGUUUUGCGGUACGCCAGACCCCUCCCGAUCAACAGGACCCGUUCCGAAUGUAGGAGGUCCGUUUCCUCCGUUGUGCGGUACGCCAGGCCUCGUUUCCAUCGCCUAUUUCGUCCAAGCCCUCCCGAUGAACACGACCACACAUUCCGUUCCGACCCAGCCGGUUGGCUCGCACGCGUUCCGUUGCCUCCCGAUGAACACGACGCAUUCCGUUGCCUCCCGAUGAACACGACGCAUUCCAUUGCCUCCCCAUGAACACGACGCAUUCCGUUGCCUCCCCAUGAACACGACGACGAUGCUGUUUCUCCGUUCCGACCCAGCCAUGUACACGAGCCCUCGCCAUACGUAUGCGUGAGUAGGCGUUCGAGACCCCGCCCGUAUGUACACACACAUGGCCGUAUUUUCUUUCUUGCACCCUGGCCGUUGUACGUACGCGUACGUGCUACGUGCGCGCCUCUACUACGACACGUGCACGCCUCUACAUCGACCAAUAUGUACGUACACGUUCGCGACCAGAAUGACAACGCUACGUACAGUUCGACCAGGUGGGUCCCGACUGUCACGCACUUCCUUGCUUGCGAAGAUGUAGUUGGUGGGUCCCAGCAGUCAGGGGGCGAAUCGUUUUUUUGCCCGGACGCACUUCCUUGCGUGUGAAGAUAUAGCUGCUGGGUCCCAGCAGUCAGGGGGAAACAUUUUUUUCGCGAAAUACAAUGGCCCAUCCGGUGGGUCCCAGCUGUCAGGUGGAGGAAUCAUUAUUUUCUGCAUAAUAAGGAGGCACUUCCUUGCUGCGGUCGUGGACCCAGCUGUCAGCCUCUCCACGUACAGUCCACGUCCGAUGGAAGUCGUUCCUUGACCACGUUGACCACGCCGCGCCGAGAGCACCAGGGCGGUGGACGACGGCGAGGCCUAGGAAGGGGACGACACGGAGGCAGGGAAGACUCGGCAGUUGUUUCCCACGCAGAGAGGAGUAUGACUGUACGAGGGUUUACUGGUUCGUCUGCAGUCGGCGGAGAAUAACAGCAGGUGUGGGUGACUAGAGGGAUGGCUAGGCUAGCGAUGGGAGUACGGUCGGGCGGUGAGGCCUGCGCGGCAGCACAGCCGGCCGCGAGGAGGAGGGAGCAGGCAGUCCCGCCGGCGCUUGUUUGAGUGGCUAGAGCAGGAAGAGCGGAGAUUGAAGAAGCACGACGGCCGUUGGAUGGACAUCCAACAGUCAGUGCUUGUGCGUCAACCUUUUUUUAGGAAAGCAUCAAAUCUGUGGAAAACAGCAUACAACCCAUCUACCAUUAUUUGUAAUAAUUUACAACGCAUUUGCUAAUUCUUAAGGUUUUUUUGGAGCCCAUAUUCUUUUUGUUAGCAUUACAACCCAUAUUGUGGCAACGGUUAAAAAAUUAUACGAAAUUUUGCAUAUUUCGGUGUGGUCUGAACGGUUUUUAAUCCCAAAAUUUCGACUCACAUUCAAUCUGAUUUUAAAAAUAAAUGUAUAUCAAUAUAAAAUCCAACAAAUUCUCCACGCAUAAAAAUUAAUGUAAUUUAAAAUCUUGAAAUGAAAAAAGAUAUUUGAAACUAAUUGCCGGUUUGAUGUGUUUUAAAAAUGUACAACCCAUUUCUCAUUACUGAUGGGCCAUUUUCUCGGCCAGCCGAAUGAAAGCUCUAAUCGUCUUGAAAGAUUUGCAGCCCAACAGGCCUGACAAAGCGACUUGGCAAAUCACAAAAAAACUGGGCUGUGGCUGUGGACCCAGCUGUCAGCCUCUCCACGUACAGUACUCUUCCGAUGGAAGUCGUUCAUUGACCACGUUGACCACGCCGCACGGAGAGCACCACGGCGGUGGACAACGGCGAGGCCUAGGAAGGGGACGACGCGGCAGUGGAAGCCCGCGCGGAGAGGACUACGAGGGUUCACUGGUUUGGCUGCGGUGUGAGGUUGCCGUCACCGCAGGGCCUGGCCAGCGGUGGGAAUAGUAGGGGGCGGUGAGGCCUCUAUGGCAGCACAGCCGGCCACGGGAGGCAGGAGCAUGCGGCACGACCGGCGCUGCUUUGGGAGGCUGGAGCAAGAAGACCAGAGGUUGAAGAAGCACUACGGCCGUUGGAUGGACAUCGUACGGUCACUGGAGCUAGAUUCGUUCAUAUUGACUAAGUUGACAAAGCCCUUCAUCCCCGUCAACUUAGUAGGCCCACAAGUCAGCCUCCCAGCAAGGUGGGUCCCAGCUAGCCAGGGGAGUAUUCAUUUUUUUGUGCAUAAUAAGGAGGCACUUCCGGUGGGUCCGAGUUGACAGCGGGGGGGGGGGACGUUUUUUUCGCGAAAUACGGUGGCCCGUCCGGUGGGUCCCAGCAGUCAGGGGGAAAGGAUUUUUUUCGCAAAAUACUGGUGGCCCGUCCGGCGGGUCCCCGCUGUUAAGUGGAGGAAUAAUUAUUUUGCACAUAAUAAGGAGGCACUUCCUUGCUGCGGCCGUGGACCCAGCUGUCAGCCUCUCCACGUACAGUCCACGUCCGAUGGAAGCCGUUCCUUGACCACGUUGACCACGCCGCGCCAAGAGCACCAGGGCGGUGGACGACAUCGAGGCCAGGAAGGGGACGACGCGGAGCCGGGGAAGACGCGGCAGUGGGUGCCCACGCGUAGAGGAUUACAAGGGUUCACUAGUUCGCUGCGGUGUGAGGCUGCCGUCGCUGCAGAAUAACAGCGGGUGUGGGUGAGUAGAGGGAUGGCCUGGCCAGCGGUGGGAAUAGUAGGGGCGGUGAGGCCUCCGCCGCAUCGCAGCCGGCCACGGGAGGCAGGAGCACGAGGCACGACCGCCGCUGGUUUGGGCGGCUGGAGCAAGAAGACCAGAGGUUGAAGAAGCACUACGGCCGUUGGAUGGAUAUCGUACGGUCAAUGGAGCUAGAAUCAUGCAUAUUGACUAAGUUGACAAAGCCCCCCAUCCCCGUCAACUUAGUAGGCCCACAAGUCAGCCUGCCACUAAGGUGGAUCCCAGCUAGCAGGGGGUAUUCAUUUUUUUAUGCAUAAUAAGGAGGCACUUCCGGUGGGUCCGAGCUGACAGCAGGGGGAACGUUUUUUCGCGAAAUACGGUGGGCCGUCGGGUGGGUCCCAGCAGUCAGGGGCAAACAUUUUUUUUUGCGAUAUACUGGUGGGCGUUCGGUGGGUCCCUGCUGUGAGGUGGAGGAAUAAUUAUUUUCCGCGUAAUAAGGAGGCACUUCCUUGCGGCUACCAUGGACCCAGCUGUCACCCUCUCCACGUACAGUAUUCUUCCGAUGGAAUUCGGUCAUUGACCACAUUGACCACGCCACGCCGACAGCACCACGGCGGUGGAUGAUACGUCUCCAACGUAUCUAUAAUUUUUGAUUGCUCCAUGCUAUAUUAUCUACUGUUUUGGACUAUAUUGGGCUUUAUUUUACACUUUUAAAUUAUAUUUGGGACUAACCUAUUAACCGGAGGCCCGGCCCAGAAUUGCUGUUUUUUGCCUAUUUCACUGUUUCGAAGAAACGGAAUAUCAAACGGAGUCCAAAUGGAAUGAAACCUUCGGGAACGUGAUUUUCUCACCGAACGUGAUCUAGGAGACUUGGACCCUAUGCCAAGGCAUCAGAGAGGCGGUCACGAGGGUGGCCCCCCCUAGGGCGCGCCCCCCUGCCUCGUGGGCCCCUCGGAGCUCCACUGACGUACUUCUUCCUCCUAUAUAUACCUACGUACCCCCAAACGAUCAGAACAUGAGCCAAAAACCUAAUUCCACCGCCGCAACUUUCUAUAUCCACAAGAUCCCAUCUUGGGGCCUGUUCCGGAGCUCCACCGGGGAGGGCCGUCAUCACGGAGGGCUUCUACAUCAUCAUAGCCCCUCCGAUGAAGUGUGAGUAGUUUACCUGAGACCUUCGGGUCCAUAGUUAGUAGCUAGAUGGCUUCUUCUCUCUUUUUGGAUCUCAAUACAAAGUUCUCUCCCUCUCUUUUGGUGAUCUAUUCGAUGUAAUCUUCUUUUCGCGGUGUGUUUGUUGAGACCGAUGAAUUGUGGGUUUAUGAUCAAGUCUAUCUAUGAAUAAUAUUUGAAUCUUCUCCGAAUUCUUUUAUGUAUGAUUGGUUAUCUUUGCAAGUCUCUUCAAAUUAUCCGUUUGGUUUGGCCAACUAGAUUGGUAGUUCUUGCCAUGGGAGAAGUGCUUAGCUUUGGGUUCGAUCUUGCGGUGUCCUUUCCCAGUGACAGAAGGGGCAGCAAGGCAUGUAUUGUAUCAUUGCCAUCGAGGAUAAAAAGAUGGGGUUUAUUUCAUAUUGCAUGAAUUUAUCUCUCUACAUCAUAUCAUCUUGCUUAAGGCGUUACUCUGUUUUUAACUUAAUACUCUAGAUGCAUGCUGGAUAUCGGUCGAUGAGUGGAGUAAUAGUAGUAGAUGCAGAAUCGUUUCGGUCUACUUGUCACACACGUGAUGCCUAUAUACAUGAUCAUGCCUAGAUAUUCUCAUAACUAUGCUCAAUUCUGUCAAUUGCUCAAUAGUAAUUUGUUCACCCACCGUAGAAUACUUAUGCUCUUGAGAGAAGCCACUAGUGAAACCUAUGGCCCCCAGGUCUAUUCUCAUCAUAUUAAUCUCCAUCACUUUAAUCUUGCUUUGCUUUUUUACUUUCCUUUUACUUUUUACUUUGCAUCUUUAUACCAAAAAUACCAAAAAUAUUAUAUCUAUCAGAUCUCACUCUCGUAAGUGACCGUGAAGGGAUUGACAACCCCUAAUCACGUUGGUUGUGAGUAGCUAUCGUUUUGUGCAGGUACGAGAGACUUGAGCGUGGCCUCCUACUGGAUUGAUACCUUGGUUCUCAAAAACUGAGGGAAAUACUUACGCUACUCUGCUGCAUCAUCCCUUCCUCUUCGGGGAAAACCUACGCAAGCUCAAGACAUAGCAAGAAGGAUUUCUGGCGCCGUUGCCGGGGAAGUCUACGCAAAAAGUCAACAUACCAAGUACCCAUCACAAUCCCUAUCUCUCGCAUUACAUUAUUUGCCAUUUGCCUCUCAUUUUCCUCUCCCCCACUUCACCCUUGCCGUUUUAUUCGCCCCCUCUCUCUCUCUAUCCUCCCUCUCUAUUUGCCUCUUUUGCCCGCUUGCCUUUUUGUUUGCUCGUGUGUUAGAUUGCUUGUUUGUCGCGAUGGCUCAAGAUACUACCAAAUUGUGUGACUUGACCAAUACCAAUAAUAAUGAUUUCCUUAGCACUCCGAUUGCUCCUCUUGCCGAUACUGAAUCUUGUGAAAUCAAUACUGCUUUGUUGAAUCUUGUUAUGAAAGAUCAAUUCACCGGCCUUCCUAGUGAAGAUGCCCCUACUCAUCUGAAUAGCUUCGUUGAUUUAUGUGAUAUGCAAAAGAAAAAAGAUGUCGAUAAUGAUGUCGUUAAAUUGAAGCUAUUUCCUUUUUUGCUUAGAGAUCGUGCUAAAGCUUGGUUUUCGUCUUUGCCUAAGAAUAGUAUUGAUUCUUGGAACAAGUGCAAAGAUGCUUUUAUCUCUAAGUAUUUCCCUCCUGCUAAGAUCAUCUCUCUUAGGAACGAUAUUAUGAAUUUUAAGCAACUUGAUCAUGAACAUGUUGCACAAACUUGGGAGAGAAUGAAAUUAAUGAUACAUAAUUGCCCUACUCAUGGUUUGAAUUUGUGGAUAAUUAUACAAAAUUUUUAUGCUGGAUUGAAUUUUGCGUCUAGAAAUCUUUUAGAUUCGGCCGCGGGAGGCACUUUUAUGGAAAUCACUUUAGGAGAUGCUACUAAACUCCUAGAUAAUAUUAUGGUUAAUUAUUCUCAAUGGCAUACUAAAAGAUCUUCUAAUAAAAAAAGUGCAUGCGAUAGAAGAAAUCAAUGUUUUGAGUGGAAAGAUGGAUGAACUUAUGAAAUUAUUUGCUACUAAGAGUGUUUCUUCUGAUCCUAAUGAUACGCCUUUGUCUACUUUGAUUGAGAAUAACAAUUAAUCUAUGGAUGUGAAUUUUGUUGGUAGGAAUAAUUUUGGUAACAAUGCCUAUAGAGGGAAUUUUAAUCCUAGGCCAUAUCCUAGUAAUCCUUCUAAUAAUUAUGGGAAUUCCUACAACAACUCUUAUGGAAAUUAUAAUAAGAUGCCCUCUAAAUUUGAGAAUAGUGUUAAAGAGUUUAUGACUUCACAAAAGAAUUUUAAUGCUUUGCUUGAAGAGAAAUUGCUUAAAGUUGAUGAUUUGGCUAGGAACGUUUGUAGAAUUUCUCUUGAGGUUGAUUCUUUAAAGCUUAGAUCUAUUCCUCCUAAGCAUGAUAUCAAUGAGUCUCUCAAAUCCAUGAGAAUUUCCAUUGAUGAGUGCAAGGAAAGAACCGCUAGGAAGCGUGCUUCCAAAGAUGCCUUUAUUAAAGCGUGUUCUUCCAAUUCUUAUGAAAAUCAAGAUGAAGAUCUAAAAGUUAUUGAUGUGUCCCCUAUUAAAUCUUUAUUUGGCAAUAUGAAUCUUGAUGAAACUAAAUAUGAUCUUCCUUUACCUAGAAGGCGUUCUAAAAAUUCGGAGUAUUUAGAUCUUUAUGAUGAAAUUGAUGAAAGUGGGAUUGAAAGAAAUAAAAAUCUAGAUGUUGGUAAACCCACUAUAUUGGAUUUGAAGGAAUUUAAUUAUGAAAGUUGCUCUUUAAUUUAUUGUAUUUCCUUGUUGCAAUCCGUGCUAAAUUCUCCACAUGCUUAUUGUCAAAAUAAAGCCUUCACCGAACAUAUUGUUGAUGCCUUGAUGCAAUCUUAUGAAGAAAAACUUGAGUUGAAAUUUUCUAUCCCUAGAAAAUUCUAUGAUGAGUGGGAACCAACUAUUAAAAUUAAAAUUAAAGAUCAUGAGUUUUAUGCUUUGUGUGAUUUUGGUGCUAGUGUUUCCACGAUUCUAAAGACUUUGUGUUAUUUGCUAGAUUUUCGUAAUUUUGAUGAUUGCUCUCUAAACUUGCAUCUUGCAGAUUCUACUAUUAAGAAACCUAUGGGAAGGAUUAAUGAUGUUCUUAUUGUUGCAAAUAGGAAUUAUGUACCCGUAGAUUUCAUUGUUCUUAAUAUAGAUUGCAAUCCUUCUUGCCCUAUUAUUCUUGGUAGACCCUUCCUUAGAACGGUUGGUGCGAUUAUUGAUAUGAAGGAAGGGAAUAUUAGAUUUAAAUUUCCAUUAAAAAAGGGCAUGGAACACUUUCCAAGAAAGAAAAUAAAAUUGCCAUAUGAAACUAUCAUGAGGGCCACUUAUGGAUUGCCUACCAAAGACGGCAAUACCUAGAUCUAUCCUCGCUUUUAUGCCUAGCUAGGGGCGUUAAACGAUAGCGCUUGUUGGGAGGCAACCCAAUUUUAUUUUUAUUCCUUGCUUUUUGCUCCUGUUUAGUAAUAAAUAAAUCAUCUAGCCUCUGUUUUGGUUGUGUUUUUUGUGUUUAAUUAGUUUUUGUCCAAGUAGAACCGUUGGGAAGACUUGGGGAAAGUCUUGUUGAACUUGCUGUAAAAAACAGAAACUUUAGCGCUCACGAGAACUGCUGUCAUUUUUAUUUCAAGAGUGAUAUUUAGUUAAUUAUUUUUUCAGAUGAUUAAUAGAUGAAUUAAUCAAGUCCAUAAAUUUAUUUUAGAAUUUUUGGUGUUCCAGAUCUUGCGCUAGCUACAGAUUACUACAGACUGUUCUGUUUUUGACAGAUUCUAUUUUUCGUGUGUUGUUUGCUUAUUUUGAUGAAUCUAUGGUUAGUAAAAUAGUUUAUAAUCCAUAGAGAAGUUGGAAUACAGUAGGUUUAACACCAAUAUAAAUAAAUAAUGAUUUCAUUACAGUACCUUGAAGUGGUCUUUUGUUUUCUUUCGCUAACGGAGCUCACGAGUUUUCUACUUUAAGUUUUGUGUUGUGAAGUUUUCAAGUUUUGGGUGAAUUCUUUGAUGGAUUAUGGAACAAGGAGUGGCAAGAGACUAAGCUUGGGGAUGUCCAUGGCACCCCCAAGAUAAUCCAAGGACACCAAAAAUUCAAAGCUUGGGGAUGCCCCGGAAGGCAUCCCCUCUUUUGUCCACUUCCAUCGGUAAUUUACUUGGAGCUAUAUUUUUAUUCACCAACAUGAUAUGUGUUUUGCUUGGAGCGUCUUGUAUUAUUUGUGUCUUUGUGUUUUAGUAUGCCACAAUCAUCCUUGCUGUACACACCUUUUGAGAGAGCCAUACAUAAAUUAAAAUUUGAUAGAAUACUCUAUGUGCUUCAGUUAUAUCUUUUGAGCUAAGUAGUUUUGCUCUAUGUGCUUCACUUAUAUCUUUUGAGCGUUAUAAUUUUGCUCUAUGUGCUUCACUUAGGUCUUUUAGAGCAUGGUGGUGGAUUUGUUUUAAAGAAACUAUUGAUCUCUCAUGCUUCACUUAGAUUAUUUUGAGAGUCUUAAUAGCAUGGUAAUUUGCUUAAUAAUAACAUGCUUGGUAUUCAAGAUUUGUGAAACUUUCUUUUGAGUGUGUUGAAUACUAAGAAAAUUUGGAUGCUUGAUUAUUGUUUUGAGAUAUGGAGGUAAUAAUAUCAAAGUCAUGCUAGUUGAGUAAUUGUGAAUUUGAGAAGUGCUUGUGUUGAAGUUUGCAAGUCCUGUAGCAUGCACGUAUGGUAAACGUUAUGUAACAAAUUUGAAACAUGAGGUGUUACUUGAUUGUCCUCCUUAUGAGUGGCGGUCGGGGACGAACGAUGGUCUUUUACUACCAAUCUACCCCCCUAGGAGAAUGCACGUAAUACUUUGGUUUUUGAUAGCUUGUAGAUUUUUGCAAUAAGUAUAUGAGUUCUUUAUGACUAAUGUUGAGUCCAUGGAUUAUACGCACUCUCACCCUUCCAUCAUUGCUAGCCUCUACGGUACCGUGCAUUGCCCUUUCUCACAUCGAGAGUUGGUGCAAACUUUGCCGGUGCAUUCAAACCCCGUGAUAUGAUACGCUCUUUCACACAUAAACCUCCUUAUAUCUUCCUCCAAACAGCCACCAUACCUACCUAUUAUGGUAUUUCCAUAGCCAUUCCGCGAUAUAUUGCCAUGCAACUUUCCACCAUCCAGUUUAUCAUGACACAUUCAUCGUUGUCAUAUUGCUUAGCAUGAUCAUGUAGUUGACAUAGUAUUUGUGACAAAGCCACCGUUCAUAAUUUUUUCAUACUUGUCACUCUUGAUUCAUUGCAUGUCCCAGUACACCGCCGGAGGCAUCCAUAUAGAGUCAUACUUUGUUCUAGUAUCAAGUUGUAAUCAUUGAGCUGUAAAUAAAUAGAAGUGUGAUGAUCAUCAUUCAAUAGAGCAUUGUCCCCAAAAAAGAGAAAGGCCAAAGAAAAAAGAAGCCCCCCCAAAAAACAGAAAAUAAAUAAAAAGGGGCAAUGCUACUAUUCCUUUUUCCCACACUUGUGCUUCAAAGUAGCACCAUGUUCUUCAUAUAGAGAGUCUCUUGAGUUAUCACUUUCAUACACUAGUGGGAAUUUUCAUUAUAGAACUUGGCUUGUAUAUUCCAACAAUGGGCCUCCUCAAGUGCCCUAGGUCUUCGUGAGCAAGCAAGUUGGAUGCACACCCACUUAGUUUCUUUUGUUGAGCUUUCAUACAUUUAUAGCUCUAGUGCAUCCGUUGCAUGGCAAUCCCUACUCCUUGCAUUAACAUCAAUCGAUGGGCAUCUCCAUAGCCCAUUGAUUAGCCUCGUUGAUGUGAGACUUUCUCCUUUUUUGUCUUCUCCACAUAACCCCCAUCAUUCUAUUCCACCCAUAGUGCUAUAUCCAUGGCUCACACUCAUGUAUUGCGUGAAAGUUUAUGAGUUUGAAAUUAUUAAGGUAUGAAACAAUUGCUUGGCUUGUCAUCGGGGUUGUGCAUGAUGAGAGCAUUCUUGUGUGACGAAAAUGGAGCAUGACUAAACUAUAUGAUUUUGUAGGGAUAAACUUUCUUUGGCCAUGUUACUUUGAGAAAACAUAAUUGCUUUGUUGGUUUGCUUGAAGUAUUAUUAUUCUUUAUGUCAAUAUGAACUUUUGUCUCGAAUCUUCCUAAUCUGAAUAUUCAUACCACAAUUAAGAAGAUUUGCAUUGAAAUUAUGCCAAGUAGCACUCCGCAUCAAAAAUUCUCUUUUUAUCAUUUACCUACUCAAGGACGAGCAGUAAUUAAGCUUGGGGAUGCCUGAUACGUCUCCAACGUAUCUAUAAUUUUUGAUUGCUCCAUGCUAUAUUAUCUACUGUUUUGGACUAUAUUGGGCUUUAUUUUCCACUUUUAUAUUAUUUCUGGGACUAACCUAUUAACCGGAGGCCCAGCCCAGAAUUGCUGUUUUUUUUGCCUAUUUCAGUGUUUCGAAGAAACAGAAUAUCAAACGGAGUCCAAACGGAAUGAAACCUUCGGGAACGUGAUUUUCUCACCGAACGUGAUCCAGGAGACUUGGACCCUACGCCAAGGCAUCAGAGAGGCGGUCACGAGGGUGGGGGGCGCGCCCCGCGCCCCCUGCCUCAUGGACCCCUCGGAGCUCCACCGACGUACUUCUUCCUCCUAUAUAUACCUACGUACCCCCAAACAAUUAGAACAGGAGCCAAAAACCUAAUUCCACCACCGCAACUUUCUGUAUCCACGCGAUCCCAUCUUGGGGCCUGUUCCGAAGCUCCGCCGGAGAGGGCCGUCAUCACGGAGGGCUUCUACAUCAUCAUAGCCCCUCCGAUGAAGUGUGAGUAGUUUACCUCAGACCUUCGGGUCCAUAGUUAGUAGCUAGAUGGCUUCUUCUCUCUUUUUGGAUCUCAAUACAAAGUUCUCUCCCUCUCUUGUGGAGAUCUAUUCGAUGUAAUCUUCUUUUUGCGGUGUGUUUGUUGAGACCGAUGAAUUGUGGGUUUAUGAUCAAGUCUAUCUAUGAAUAAUAUUUGAAUCUUUUCUAAAUUCUUUUAUGUAUGAUUGAUUAUCUUUGCAAGUCUCUUCGAAUUAUCCGUUUGGUUUGGCCAACUAGAUUGGUAGUUCUUGCCAUGGGAGAAGUGCUUAGCUUUGGGUUCGAUCUUACGGUGUCCUUUCUCAGUGACAGAAGGGGCAGCAAGGCAUGUAUUGUAUCAUUGCCAUCGAGGAUAACAAGAUGGGGUUUAUUUCAUAUUGCAUGAAUUUAUCUCUCUACAUCAUGUCAUAUUGCUUAAGGCGUUACUCUGUUUUUAACUUAAUACUCUAGAUGCAUGCUGGAUAGCGAUCGAUGAGUGGAGUAAUAGUAGUAGAUGCAGAAUUGUUUCGGUCUACUUGUCACGGACGUGAUGCCUAUAUACAUGAUCAUGCCUAGAUAUUCUCAUAACUAUGCUCAAUUCUGUCAAUUGCUCAACAUUAAUUUGUUCACCCACCGUAGAAUACUUAUGCUCUUGAGAGAAGCCACUAGUGAAACCUAUGGCCCUCGGGUCUAUUCUCAUCAUAUUAAUCUCCAUCACUUUAAUCUUGCUUUGCUUUUUUACUUUUUACUUUGCAUCUUUAUACCAAAAAUACCAAAAAUAUUAUAUCUGUCAGAUCUCACUCUCGUAAGUGACCGUGAAGGGAUUGACAACCCCUAAUCGCGUUGGUUGCGAGUAGCUAUCGUUUUGUGCAGGUACGAGAGACUUGAGCGUGGCUUCCUACUGGAUUGAUACCUUAGUUCUCAAAAACUGAGGGAAAUACUUACGCUACUCUGCUGCAUCAUCCCUUCCUCUUCGGGGAAAACCAACGCAAGCUCAAAACGUAGCAGUGUACAACGACGAGGCCUAGGAAGGGGACGACGCGGUGUCGGGGAAGACACGGCAGUGGAUGCCCAUGCAGAGAGGAGUACGAGGGUUCACUGGUUCGGCUGCGCUGCCAUCGCCGCAGAAUAACAGGGGGUGUGGGUGAGUGGAGUGGAGGGAUGGCCUGGCAGCGGUGGGAGUAGUAUGGAGGUGGCGAGGCCUCCGCGGUAGCACAGCCGGCCACGAGAGGCAGGAGCAGGCGGCACGACCAGCGCUGCUUUGGGCGGCUGGAGCAAGAAGACCAGAGGUUGAAGAAGCACUACGACCGUUGGAUGGACAUCAUACGGUCAGUCGAGCUAGAAUUGUGCAUAUUGACUAAGUUGACAAAGCCCUUCGUCCCCGUCAACUUAGUAGGCCCACUAUACUGGGUCCCAGCUAGCAGGGGGAGUAUUCAUUUUUUUGUGCGUAAUAAGGAGGCACUUCCUUGCAUGCGAAGAUAUAGUUGGUGGGUCCGAGCUGUCAGCGGCGGUAACAUUUUUUUCGCGAAAUACAGAGGCCAUUUCGGUGGGUCCCAGAUGUCAGGUGGAGGAAAUCAUUAUUUUGCGCGUAAUAAGGAGGCAUUUCCUUGCGUGCAGCCAUGGACCCAGCUGUCAGCCUCUCCAUGUACAGUCCACUGCAGAUGCAUGUCGGUCGUUGACCAUGCUGACCACGCCACGCCGAGAGCACCAGGGCGGUGGACGACGGUGAGGCCUAGGAAGGGAACGACACGGAGGUAGGGAAGACUCGGCCGUUGUUUUUGUUUCCCACGCGGAGGGGAGUACGACUGUACGAGGGUUUACUGGUUCGUCUGCCAUCGCCGGAGAAUAACAACAGGUGUGGGUGAGUAGAGGGAUGGCUAGGCCAGUGAUGGGAGUAUGGUGGGGCGGUGAGGCCUGCGCGGCAGCACAGCCGGCCGCGGGGAGGAGGGAGCAGGCAGUCCCGCCGGCGCUUGUUUGAGCGGCUGGAGCAGGAAGAGCAGAGAUUGAAGAAGCACGACGGCCGUUGGAUGGACAUCCAACAGUAUACAGGCCAUCUAUGGAAAGCCUCAAAUAUGUGGAAAACAGCAUACAUCCCAUCUGCCAUUAUUUCAAAUAAUUUACAACACAUUUGCUAAUUCUUACGGGUUUUUUUGGAGCUCAUAUUCUUUAUGUUAGCAUUACAGCCCAUAUUGUGGCCACGGUUAAAAAAUUAUACGAAAUUUUGCAUAUGUCGGUGCAGUCUGAACUGUUUUUAAUCCCGAAAUUUCGAGUCACAUUCAGAGUCAUUUUAAAAAUAAAUGUAUAUCAAUAUAAAAUCCAAUAAAUUGUCCACGCAUAAAAAUCAAUGCAAUUUAAAAUCUUGAAAUGAAAAAAAGAUAUUUGAAAAUAAUUGCCGGUUUGAUGUGUUUUAAAAAUGUACAGCCCAUUUCUCAUUACUGAUAGGACAUUUUCUCAGCCAGCCGAAUGAAGCUCUCCUCGUCUUGAAAGAUUUGCAGCCCAGCAAGCCUGAUAAAGCGACUUACUUGACAAAUCACAAAAGAACUGGGCUAGCCAUUUUCAGAAACAAAAAAACUACUAGGCUGGUCCGUGGUAAACAUAAAAGAAAAGGCUGUCUAGACAGGCCAGAGUGUCCCUUACAUCCCAGUAUUUCCGCAUGGACGUGUAGGCCGGGGCGCCUCUUCGUGAACCGUGGCAAACUUGCAACCGUCCACCGACUCUUCGCCUUUCCCUCUCGAUUUGGAACUGUUGUCGCACGCGCUUCCUCUCCCUCCUCCAUUUUCCUUCAACCCUUCACCCUUUCUUCUGCCAUUGUUCGAUCGUCUUCUCCAUGGAGGGAACAGGCCAGAAACGACCCCAUUAUUCUUGCCCCAAUAUGAAAGAUGACGUGGUGGAGGAACUCAUUGAUCGGUGUGACGUCAUCACCUCGGCUAGCAUGGCAGGUUCAUUCAAGCCCAUUCUCGACUCAACUAAUAACAUCAUUACAAAGAACCCAAGAGUCAAGGAGCGGUUUGAUCUGUCCUAUCUUCUUUGCCGUGACCCUGAUGACUGGCGCCAGCACGACGGAGGCCUCGCCCUGUGCCAGUUGAUGCCGCUUGAUAAUAAUACGUAUGAUGUUAAGAUGCCAUCGCUCGAGGGCAAGGCUUGGGCGGGCGCAAAUGGAUAUUGGGUUGUUUACAUUGGGUCCAACUGCGAGUGGGAACUUGUGAAUGUGUACACUCGUCACCGGGUUCCACUUCCAAAAAUCUUAGCACACUGCCCAGAGGUUGAGCACACUGGUAAUGUACGCACGUUCAAAUACGAUCAUGGUGACUGUCUUCUAUGGAAGAUAGCAAUUUGUCGAGUUCCCAACCGCUCUUGGAAUUACAACAACGAUCAAGUUGUUGCUAUCUUCGACAAGCUUGUUGCCGUCCUUCGUGGUUCGACUCGAUGGAUAUUGCUCAAAAAUCAGUUUCUGUACACGGAUGAGUACUGUGAUGCAAUUCAAUACGAGGGCCUUGUGUUUGCUGCCACCACUCGUGGCACUGUUUUUGCAUGGCAUCCUAGUAGUUUCGGUACGUUUGUCUUCCACGGUAAUUAUAAUUGUUUCAUCCACAUGCAUGCGGGUUAGCAAGUUUCCCUUUACUAAUUAACCUUCUUCUUGUGUUUCCAAGGUCCUGUGAACAUCCCACCACCUAUACUUGAAAAUUUUUAUAACCAAGGUGGAGAUGACGAUGGUGAUGAUCACGAGCAUGAGAACGAGCAGCGCCGAUAUACUCUGUGGCGCCUGGCAACUAAUUCCGAUGGAUCACCUCUUCUUGUGUGUAUACAACCCACUGAUGAUGUUACUCGUAAGGAAGCAGGUGUCUCCCAUGGUUGCACUCUCCUGACCUAUUCCAACACCCGUUGCAUGGUAUUCGGGAUGGAUACUAGUGUGCUAGCGCGAACUCCUUCUCCCUGGCACAGAAUUGAUAGUCUUGGAGAAAACUCGCUCUUCCUUGGACAAAACUAUCCGAUGAUGGUGAAAGGCGAUCCAACUGCUGCUGACACAUUUAUGAGAAGCAACUGUGUCUAUACCUUGGACAUUUGGGUGGUUCCCUACCCUCGUACGGAUAUAGUAGGCCGCUUCAGCCUGGAUGAUCGGUCCUGCGUUGGUCUCCAGCUCGACAACACAUGGCACGUCCCAGAGAAUCAGUUGUGGUUCAAAGCAAGCGUUUCCAACGCUGCAGAAUGGUUGAGUUGAAGUUCAUUUCAUGGCUUGUUAUUUGUUGUGUGGAGAAAACUUUAGUAUUUAUAAUGUAUCCUCGUUGUCGAUGUGGGUUGAUGACCUGUUGUAUGUAAUAAAAUGAUAUGCAUGUGAUAAACUUACUAAAUUGAUGAAUGGCUUUCGAGUCGCUUCUCUAAAUUUGUACUAGCUUCACAUGCUUCGCGUGUCAGACGGUGAUACGUCUCCGUUGUAUCUACUUUUCCAAACACUUUUGCCCUUGUUUUGGACUCUAACUUGUAUGAUUUGAAUGGAACUAACCCGGACUGACACUGUUUUCAGCAGAAUUGCCAUGGGGUUGUUUUAUGUGCAGAAAAUAAAUAUUCUCGGAAUGACCUGAAACUCCACGGAACAUCUUAGAAAAAAUAAUAAAAAAUCCUCGCCAAAGAUGAAGACCAGGGGGCCACACCCUGUUCACGAGGGUGGGGGGCGCCCCCCUAGGGCAUGCCCCCUACCUUGUGGGCCCCCUGGAUGCCCUCCGACGCCAACUCCAACUCUAUAUAUUUGCUUUCGAAGAGAAAAAAAUCAGAGAGAAGAAAUCAUCGCGUUUUACGAUAUGGAGCCGCCGCCAAGCCCUAAAACCUCUCGAGAGGGCUAAUCUAGAGUCCGUUCGGGGCUCUGGAGAGGGGGAUUCGUCGCCGUCGUCAUCAUCAACCAUCCUCCAUCACCAAUUUCAUGAUGCUCACCGCAGUGCGUGAGUAAUUCCAUCGUAGGCUUGCUAGACGGUGAUGGGUUGGAUGGGAUUUAUCAUGUAAUCGAGUUAGUUUUGUUAGUGUUUGAUCCCUAGUAUCCACUAUGUUCUGAGAUUGAUGUUGCUAUGACUUUGCUAUGCUUAAUGCUUGUCACUAGGGCCCGAGUGCCACGAUUUCAGAUCUGAACCUAUUAUGUUUUCAUGAAUAUAUGUGAGUUCUUGAUCCUAUCUUGCAAGUCUAUAGUCACCUACUAUGUGUUAUGAUCCGGCAACCCCGAAGUGACAAUAAUCAGGACCACUCCCGGUGAUGACCAUAGUUUGAGGAGUUCAUGUAUUCACUAUGUGCUAAUGCUUUGUUCCGGUUCUCUAUUAAAAGGAGGCCUUAAUAUCCCUUAGUUUCCAAUAGGACCCCGCUGCCACGGGAGGGUAGGAAAAAAGAUGUCAUGCAAGUUCUUUUCCAUAAGCACGUAUGACUAUAUACAGAAUACAUGCCUACAUUACAUUGAUGAAUUGGAGCUAGUUCUGUGUCACCCUAUGUUAUGACUGUUACAUGAUGAACCGCAUCCGGCAUAAUUAUCCAUCACUGAUCCGGUGCCUACGAGUUUUCCAUAUACUGGUUCUCGCUUAUUUACUUUCCCGCUGCUACUGUUACAAUCACUACAAAAUACCAAAAACAUUACUUUUGCUGUCUUUACUUUUAUUUUCGCUACCACCACUAUCAUAUUACUUUGCUACUAAACACUUUGCUGUAGAUACUAAGUUUCCAGGUGUGGCUGAAUUGACAACUCAGCUGCUAAUACUUGAGAAUAUUGUUUGGCUCCCCUUGUGUCGAAUAAAUAAAUUUGGGUUGAAUACUCUACCCUCGAAAGUUGUUGCGAUCCCCUAUACUUGUGCGUUAUCAAGACUAAUUUCUGGCGCCGUUGCCGAGGAGCAUAGCUCUAUUCUUUGAGUCACUUGGGAUUUAUAUCUGCUGGACAUUAUGAAGAACUUGAGAGAUCCAAAAACCAAGAUCUAUCCCUCAACUACGAGGGGAGGUAAGGAACUGCCAUCUAGCUCUGCACUUGACUCACCUUCUGUUAUGAGUAAGUUUGCGACACCUACACCUGCUUCUGCUAUUCGUUCUGAUAUGUCGCACGUUAUUGAUGAUGCCACUUCUGCUAUGCAUGAUACUUAUGAUGAAACUGCUUCUAUGCCUGAUACUACUGUGCCCCUUGGUGAAUUUCUUGAUGAACAAAUUGCUAGGGCUAGAGAAAAAGAAAUUAUUGAAUCUAAAUACGAUGAUGAUAGUGAUCAUGAAAAUAUGCCUGCUAUUCCUGAGGGCUAUCUUUUUGAUAUGGAAUCUUCUAUCGCUAUUUUAGCUUGCAAAGAUAGAUACGAGCUUAAGAGGUUAGUAGUUAAAUGGAACAAAGAAUCACUUAGAGAUAAAAUGAAACCCAACCCUGCUUUUGCUACUUCACCUAUAUGUGUUCCUGAUAAGGAUUAUGAAUUCUCUGUUGAUCCUGAUAUAAUUACUUUGGUUGAAUCUGAUCCGUUUUAUGGCUAUGAAUCUGAAACUGUUGUGGCACAUCUUACUAAGUUAAAUGAUAUAGCUGCCCUGUUCAAUAAUGAUGAGAGAUCGCGUUACUUCUAUAUACUCAAAAUAUUUCCGUUCUCAUUAAAGGGUGAUGCUAAGAUAUGGUUUAAUUCUCUUGAUCCUGGUUGUGUGCAUAGUCCCCAGGAUAUGAUUUAUUACUUCUCUGCUAAAUAUUUCCCUGCUCAUAAGAAACAAGCUGCUUUGAGGGAAAUAUACAACUUCGUGCAAAUUAAAGAAGAGAGUCUCCCACAAGCUUGGGGGGGGCGGAUUCUCAAGUUACUUCAUGCUUUGCCUGAUCAUCCUCUUAAGAAACCUGAAAUACUUGAUAUAUUUUAUAAUGGACUAACCGAUCCUUCCAGAGAUUACCUGGAUAGUUGUGCUGGUUCUCUUUUCAGGGAAAGAACACCGGAUGAAGCUAAAAUCCUAUUGAAUAAUAUGUUGACAAAUGAAAAUAAUUGGGCACCUCCUGAGCCAGCUCCUGCUCCAAUUACUGAGCCUAUUCCUAAACCAACUCUGAAGAAGAGAUGUGUUAUGUUUCUCACUCCCGAAGAUAUGCAAGAGGCAAAGAAAUCUAUGAAAGAAAAAGGUAUUAGAGCUGAAGAUGUUAAGAAUUUACCUCCUAUUGAAGAAAUAUAUGGUCUUAAUAUACCGCCUGUUGAAGAAACAUAUGAUCUCAAUUCUUUAUUUACUGAAGAACCUCCUAAUCCCGAUAUCCCGACACAGGUAGUAAAGGUAAAUUCUCUCUAUAGAUAUGAUAAAGCUGAAGUCCCUCCUACUAAAAUUGCUAGUCAGUGCUUGGAUGAGUUUGAUAACUUUAUGUUUAAGCAAGAUGACUUCAAUGCUUAUUUUGGCAGACAAUUAAAGAAAAUGCUUAUAUGAUUAGACGCUUGGGUGAUUAUAUGGCUAAUAUUAAAGGUGAACUUAAACUUGUUAGCAAACAUGCUUCUAUGGUUACCACUCAAGUAGAACAAGUACUUAAGGCUCAAAAAGAAGUGCUUGAUGAAAUGAAUAGUAAGAAAAAUGAUUAUGCUGUUAGAAUGGCUACUAGAACUGGUAGAAUGACUCAGGAACCCUUGUAUCCCGAAGGCCACCCUAAGAGAAUCGAGCAAGAUUCUCAAAGAAAUAAUAUUGAUGUUCCUAGUUCUUCUAAAAAGAAGAAAAAGAAAAAUGAUAGAACUGUGCAAACUUCUAGUGAACCUAUUGCUGAACCACCUGAUAAUCCAAAUGAUAUUUCUAUGUCUGAUGUUGAAACACAAUCUGGUAAUGAACAUGAACCUAAUGAAAAUAUUAAUAAUGAUGUUCAUGAUGAUGCUCAACCUAGUAAUGAUAAUGAUGUAGAAAUUGAACCUGUUGUUGAUCUUGAUAACCCACAAUCAAAGAAUCAACGUUAUAAUAAAAGAGACUUUGUUGCUAGGAAACAUGGUAAAGAAAGGGAACCUUAGGUUCAGAAACCCAUGACUUUUCCUCCGAAACCAUCCAAGAAAAAGGAUGAUGAGGAUUUUGAGCGCUUUGCUGAAAUGAUUAGGCCUAUCUUUUUGCGUAUGCGAUUAAUUGAUGUGCUCAAAACAAAUCCUUAUGCUAAAUAUAUGAAGGAUAUAAUUGCUAAUAAAAGAAAGAUACCGGAAGCUGAAAUUUCCACUAUGCUUGCUAAUUAUACUUUUAAGGGUGGAAUACCAACAAACUUGGAGAUCCCGGAGU
rnacentral:lncRNA from 1 species